GGACGGUGGUGUUCUACUGAAAAAGAGAAAUGAAAGCAUUAUUAUUUAUUUCAUUUUUUUUAAAUCCACUAAAAAGAUGACAAGUGUCUAAAGGAAAGAAAAAAAAUUAAAUUUCCUCUUCAUCCUGCUUGAUGAACCGUGACAACAACAAACACCACUUUUUGAAUAAAAUUUUUGUCCUCCUUCCUCAAAUUCACAUGAAUAGCAACAACAACAUAUGUUUAUUUUUAUUAUUAUUAUUUUUUCUUAACAACAAAUCUCAACUUCUCACUUCAUCAAUGAAAACACAGUGCCACACAAAAAGAAAAGAGAAAAGUAAAGCCAAUCUCCGAUGAAGAUCCGCGGUGCUCGGCGAUGAGGGUGGAGUUCUGAAGGUUGAAGGAGUUGCAUGGGGUUGUGACAAGAGCACAAUGGUUUUUUCCGGAGUUUAACGGAUAUGUUUCCAGUGUGUGGAGGUGUGUUAGUAUACUUCCUUUUUCUUCCUCCGUUUUAGCUUACGAUUCCGUUUCCGAGUUUUGUUGUUCCUCUUUAUUUGUGGCUUAUGUUUUGUUUUCUAGAUUUGGUUUGAUGUGGGUUAUUAUGUGAGUUAUAUGAGAGGAGGAGAGUUAUGUCAUGGUUUAUGUGUUGUUGUGAGGAUGAAAAAUGAGUUAUGUGUUUGUGAGAUUUUGGAAGUUAUUGUUGAUGUUUAGAGAGGGAAAAAAGAGUAUGAAGAGUUAUGGUGUGUUGGUAUGAAAAUGAUUUUUUGGUGAUUAUGUGGUGAUGGAAAAGAUGAAGGUGAUUAUGUUGUAGAGAAGAUGAUGAGGAAAAAUGAAGAUUGUUUUGGUGAGUAGAGUGGAGAAGAAGGAAAAGUGAGGGUGGGUGAAAAAAAGUUGCAGGUGAAGAAGAAUGCAGUAUGUGGUUUUCUUGAAGAAGAGGAAAAAAUAUAAUAUAUUGAGAUGAGAAAACCUCACGUGCAUGAAAGAAAAACAAAAUAUCUCUUGGACAGUGUUUGGAUCUUUCUCUUUGGGAAAAAAACGUUUUUUUUAACAUGUGUGUGUGAGUUGGCCACGUGGCCUUUCAUGAAUGGAGAAGGAGAACAUAUUUUUCUUGAUUUUUUAAUUUUAGCAAGUGCUAAAAACUAAAAAAUAAUAAUUUUUAAAAAAACAUAAAAUAAAAACGUAGAAAAUUCUAUUUAAUCGAAUAAAAAAUAAACGGAUAAAAAAUAAAUAAAAAUUGGGUGAAAGAAUGCUAAAAAAUAAAUAAACUGAACACAUUAAAUUAAUCAGCGCGAAAUAAAUUUUUCAGAAACAUACAGGUUUUGAUCAAAUUUUACAAUAAAAAUUUACCAGUUAAAAGGCUCAGGCAGAUAAAAAUGCGACAUAAAAUGUAGUUGAAAAAUUAAAAUGAGCACACCGGGUUAAACUACGCGAAUCGUAGAUUAAGAAAACCGUCGUAUGAAAGCUCAAUUUUGAAAUUCUUCGCCCGCUAAUUUGAUGCACAAUUAAGAAACGAUUCGACCGAUCUGUUUGUAGGUCUGAAAAUUUUAUCUGGCUGAUAUUCUAAACUAUACGGAACAAAAAUGCAUGUUGUGACAAGUAUAAAAUACAAACGUCUUGUAAAUGAAAUAAAUUGCUGACUGAAUAAAUGUGAGCAGACAAUCAGACAUAAAUGAAUCUCUCUUAGACCAUUUGCUUCUGAUUUUAAAAUACAAAUAAAAUCAUGCAAAGAUUCAGAUGACGACAAUACUCUUAAUUGUCACCCUCUGAUCCUCUGAAAUCAUGAUAAAAUGGAAACAAAUGAUGCACUGAGAUUGAGAAAUCAAACCUUUUGACUUCUUAAUCAAUAAAUGACUGAAUAAACAUCAUCAAGAUCAUAUAAAAUUCCAGAACUCCUGACUUUUCAUCUAAACCCUGAUAGACCCUUUUAAUUGAAUAAAUGCAUGGCAAAAUGGAUCGAUUUAUGUUAUGCUGAUGCGAGUGAAAAACUCAAGGUGAAAUUUAGGGUAUGAAAGAUGCCCUUUUUAAAACAUCUUUAACCGGAGGAUAUGAAGAACUCUUGUCUUCAAAUCAUCAUGGUAAAAGAUAGUUUAAAUACCAAACAAACCCAAAAUUUUCCCUUCUAUGCGAAAGAAAGAUAUGUUUGUGAUUAUGGAUGAAUGCACAGGGACUCUAGAUUUCUUAAUCAACAAAUGGUAAUACGAAUGAAUGCGAACGAGAUUUAGGAAAUACUCUUGAUUUCCUAAUCGUCGGAUGAUAUGGAUGCAAUGUAAGUUAAGAAGUACUCCCGACUUCUUAGAGAUGAAUGAUUAAGAAAUACUCUUGAUCUCUUAAUCAUAAUAUGAUUGAAUGAAAUGAAAAUUAAUUAAGAAAUACUUCUUGAUUCUUAAUCAUGAAUACAAGUGAGUUGAGAAAUGCUCUUGAAUUCUCAAUCAUGAGAUUACAAAUGAAUGUAAGUUAAGAAAUACUCUUGAUUUCUUAAUCAUGAAUGUAAUGAAUUGAGAAAUGCUCUUGAUUUCUCAUAUGACAUGCAGAUGAGUUAAGAAAUACUCUUGAUUUCUUAAUCAUGAAUGUAAAUGAAAUAAGUAUGAGUUAAGAAAUACUCUUGAUUUCUUAAUCGAUGAAUGUAAAUGAAUUGAGAAAUGCUCUUGAUUUCUCAGAUGAAAUGCAAAUGAAUUAAGAAAUACUCUUGAUUCCUUAAUCAUGAAUGUAAAUGAAUUGAGAAAUGCUCUUGAUUUCUCAGAUGGCGCAGAUGAGUUAAGAAAUACUCUUGAUUUCUUAAUCAUGAAUGUAAAUGAAAUAUGUAUGAGUUAAGAAAUCUCUUGAUUUCUUAAUCAUGAGUGUAAAUGAAUUGAGAAAUGCUCUUGAUUUCUCAGAUGAAAUGCAAAUGAAUUAAGAAAUACUCUUGAUUCCUUAAUCAUGAAUGUAAGUGAAUUGAGAAAUGCUCUUGAUUUCUCAGAUGACAUGCAGAUGAGUUAAGAAAUACUCUUGAUUUCUUAAUCAUGAAUGUAAAUGAAAUAUGUAUGAGUUAAGAAAUCUCUUGAUUUCUUAAUCAUGGGAAUGCAGAUGAAUUAAGAAAUACUCUUGAUUCCUUAAUCAUGAAUGUAAAUGAGAAAUGCUAUUGAUUUCUCAUAUGACAUGCAAAUGACUGGGGAUGAGAGAAUCAUGUUCAACUUCCUUUGAAUGACGAUAGAUCUAUGGGAUGAAUUUGUUACAAAGUAACAUGCUCGAUUGGUCUUCAAACGCUCUUUGCUGAAGGUAGAAAAAAAUGAUCAUAUUCAGUUGCUCUUGGCUAAAGAUGUCAUAUCUUGCAACUCUUGGCUGAAACUGAUGCAUUCAACGACUCUUGGUUGAAGCAAAAACUGUAAAAUAAAAUAGUGUUCAAUUGUUUUUUGCUGAAAGCACUGCAUUCCACUAUUCAUGGUUGAAGCAAAUCUGGGAGAUAAAAAAUAGUGUUCAGCUGCUCUUGGUUGAAAUUAUUGCAUAAAAUAAAAUGGUGUCCAGCUGCUCUUGGCUGAAACUAAUGCAUUCAACUACCCUUGGUUGAAGUAAACUGCUGGAAAAUAAAAUAGUAUUCAGCUGCUCUUUGCUGAAACUAAUGCAUUCAACUGAUCUUGGUUGAUGCAAAUUGCUGGGAAAUAAACAAAAUGCUUCCUUUGGGGAAUAACCGCAUGUUCAUCUGCUCUUGGCUGACAGAAGACUCUUUUGGGGAAUGAGAAGAUCCCAGAGACUUGUUGGGGAUGAAAAGUUAAUGAUAUUCAAAAGGAUUAACCUUACUCUCAAUUAUCGAAUUGACAGGUCCAACCUAACACUCCAUCACAUAGUAGAUCAACACGGAACACUAACUCUUCCGAGGAUUGAUUGAACAAACCUGUUGGGGAAUACAAGAGACUCUCUGGGAAAUAAACACACAGGAGGCUCGUUGGAGAUAUACUGAGGAACAUUCAGUAAAGCUUGUUUGUUCAUGGAUCUCUCGUCCAUUAGACUCAUUGGGGAGAUUUCUAACUUAUGAAGAGAUGUCCAUCUUAGACAGCUACUUCAAGGAGACUUGUUGAAGAUAAAAUUAUUGGGGAUCCCUUGCUUAAGGAAUCCUGCUUGUAAAAAAAACCUCGCUUGGGGAGUUCAUGAAAUUUUUCCGGAGAAGAUACAAUGUUGGAGAAACUCUGUGGGGAGAUAUCUACUAGGGAAACCAAGCAGAAAUUCCGUUGAUACCAGAGUUCCAAUGGGAGAACAUCAAUCACCUUGUAGGGGAAGAAACUUGUCUUAAGAAUUAAUUCCAACAAUGAUUGUACUCUGAAAGUAUUGUAGUGUUGAAGAAGAGAACUGUUCUACUCGUGAGAACACCCCUUGCAUCUUGGUUUGCUAAGGAUUACACUGAACUUUCUUGAGAGGUUGCUGAAUCCGGCUGGGGUUUAUGCAUGAUCUGUUUUGUACGUGAUAUGGAAAAUGAAUGUGAAAGCAUAAAUAUAUAAGUUUAUGCAUUUUGUGGGUAUCAAGCUCGGAUUCCCCAACGCCUUGUCUUGGAGAGUUUUGUCACCAUGAAGAUGAUUUUUUUGUUGUAAAAAAAGUUCUGAUUUCUGCUUUUCCGCCAAGCGGGCUUCAAUGAGGACUUCUUGCUUCUGGAAGAAAACCCAUUUUAAACUUGCUUUAGAUUACAAUGAUCUAGGAAAUGUCCCACGUCUUGUGAACCAGAUGCAUUAUUGUAAACCAACAAAAAUUCCUUUUAUACUUUCAAAAUCAAAACAAAUUAAAGUUUUCAAAAUCUUUGUCGUUUCCACUAUUUAUUUAUACUUUCAAAAUCAAAACAAAUUAAAGUUUUCAAAAUCUUUGUCGUUUCCACUAUUUUAAUGUUUUUAUCUUAUCAAAAAUAAAAAGCGACAUUAAGCAGAAAAACAGAAAUAAUUGGUAAAGUAAUGUUCAACUGAACAAUUUUAUUUGAUGAGAAGAAUAACUCAUACAUGGUAUUCAUGAAGAUGUAAACCCCUCUAAGAGGAGAUUACAAAGAAAGAAAGAAAGUAAAUGGCAAUAAAAAUUUAACUGAUUUUCCAACGAAAUACAACUUUACUACUUUCCCCUAUGUCCUCUACUCCUCAUUACUUUGCUUCUGGAGAUGGUAAUUGGACUGUUUUCUUCCAUCUGAGCUUUGUUACAGUGUUGACUUAUGUCGUUGCAGUAUUAUGCUUUUGGAUAUUCCCUAACUUUUACGCGAACUACUCCUUAAGAGUUUCAGUUCACUGGGAGAUUUUACCCUUUUUUGCUUAAGUCUCCCUUUCGGGUUUUCGACUUACCGGGCUUAAUUUUUUGUUUAUCCCUAAUUUUUGCCUGAGGCGCCCUUUCGGGUUUUCAACUCACCGGGAUGCUCAUUUUUUGCCUAAGUCUCCCUUUCGGGUUUUCAACUUAACGAGCUUUUAUGAUCCAUCUCUUUUUCUUAGGCAUAAUACUUUCUGACUGCAUCAGAAUUGACGAGGUGUAUCAACUCUUCUCCGUCCAUGUUCGUGAGAACUAAAGCUCCACCAAAGAAAGCUUUCUUCACCACAAAUGGUCCUUCAUAGUUUGGAAUCCACUUUCCACGUGAAUCCUUCUAGAGGAAGAUUAUCUUUUUCAAAACUAGUUCACCUACAUUAAACUCUCGAGGUCGAACCUUCUUGUCAAAUGCCCGCUUGAGCCUCCUCUGAUAUAACUGACCAUGACACAACACUGUCAUCCUCUUUUCUUCGAUUAGAUUGAGCUGGUUAAAUCUGGUUUGAAUCCAUUCUACUUCUUCUAAUUUUGUCUCCAUCAAGACUCUUAACGAGGGGAUCUCAACUUCUAUCGGUAACACAGCCUCCAUGCCAUAGACUAGUGAGAAAGGGGUUGCCCCUGUUGAAGUGUGAACAGCUGUUCGAUAUCCGUGCGAAGAAAAGGGUAGCAUCUCGUGCCAAUCUUAAUAAGUUUUCACCAUCUUCUGAAUGAUUUUCUUGAUAUUCUUGUUAGCUUCCUCUACAACUCCGUUCAUCUUUGGCCUAUAAGGUGACGAGUUAUGAUGUUCAAUCUUGAAAUUCUCGCACAACUCCUUCAUCAUUUUAUUAUUCAGAUUUGAUCCAUUAUCAGUGAUAAUCUUGCUAGGAGUUCCGUAGCGACAAAUUAUCUCUUUCUUGAUAAACCGAGUGAUGACUUGCUUUGUCACAUUGGCAUAAGAAGUUGCUUCUACCCACUUAGUGAAGUAGUCAAUGGCAACCAGAAUGAACCGAUGUCCAUUUGCAGCUUUAGGCUCAAUCAUACCAAUCAUUUCUAUGCCCCACAUUGAGAAUGGCCAUGGAGAUGAUAAAACAUUCAGAGGAGUAGGUGGCACGUGCACCUUGUCAGCAUAUAUUUGGCACUUGUGGCAUUUCCUGGCAUAGUGGUAACAAUAUGUUUCCAUUGUCAACCAAUAGUAACCAGCUCUAAGGAUUUUCUUCGCCAUUGCAUGUCCGUUUGCAUGAAUGCUGAAAGAACCUUUGUGGAUUUCUUUGAUGAGUAGGUCGGCUUCGUGUCUAUCCACGCAUCUGAGUAUAACUAAAUCAAAGUUUCUUUUGUAUAGAACACCACAACUUAGGAAGAAAUUGGCUGAUAACUUUCUUAAGGUCUUUUUAUCUGUGAUGGAUACAUCAUUUGGAUACUCGUUCUUCUCAAGAUAUCAUCUGAUGUCAUAAAACCAAGGCUUGCCAUCUGUUUCUGCUUCAACUGCCAAGCAAUAUGCUGGCUCGUCUAGACGUUGAAUUAUAAUAGCAGGUGAUUCGUUAGCCCACUUGACCUUGAACAUAGAUGACAGAGUAGCCAAGGCAUCGGCUAGCUGAUUCUCCUCCCUAGGAAUAUGAUGGAAAUUAAUCUCAUCAAAGUAGGGGAUUAGACUUCAUGACAUGCUCUCGGUAUGGGAUCAAAAUUGGGAUGGAGGGUCUCCAAUCUCCUUUGAUUUGAUAGAUGACAAGUGCUGAGUCUCCAAACACCUCAGAAUCUUCACUCUUAGGUCGAUAGUUGCUUCAAUUCCCAAGAUACAUGCUUCAUACUCCGUCAUGUUAUUGUGCAUUUGAAAACCUUGUCGUGAAGGGAAGAUGAAAAUCCUUUUGAGAAGUUAUAACAGCCCAAUUCCGUUACCCAAUGCAUUUGAGGCACCAUCGAACACGAGCUCCACCGCGAUCCUGGUUCGGGUCCUUCUUACGGGCCUGGAAUCUCAUAGUCUCUUAUGUACAUGACGUCUUCAUCUGGGAAGUCGAGUCUCAUCGAUUGAUAGUCUCCACUGGCUGGUGCGCAAGGUACUCUGAUAACACACUACCCUUAAUGGCCUUCUGAGUUACAUACUGAAUGUCAUAUUUUGAUAACAACAUUUGCCAGCGAGCAAUUCUGCCAAUUAAUCCAGGUUUCUCGAAGAUGUACUUGAUGGGAUCCAUCUUGGAUAUUACAUUGUUGUAUGACAAAUCAUAUACUGUCUCAGACGACGAGCAGCCAUGCUAAUGCACAACAAGUCUUUUCUAGCAUGGAGUACCUGAUUUCACAUUCUGUUAAACUUCUUGCUCAGGUAGGUAGGAUAGCAUGCUCUUUCUACCCGUCUCAUCGUGUUGCCCCAGUACACAUCCCAUGGAUUCAUCGAGUACUGUUAAAUACAUAAUGACGAGGCCUUCCUGGAACUGGUGGCACUAAGAUUGGUGGUUCUUGAGAUACUAUUUGAUUUUAUCGAAUGCACUAUGGCAAUCAUCGUUCACUAAUGGCUUGAUCUUUCUUAACAACUUGAAUAUUGGCUCGCAAGUGGCUGUCAGAUGCGAGAUGAAUCUGGAAAUAUAGUUCAAUCUUCCCAAGAAACCACGACUGCUUCUCUGUCCGAGGUGCUGGCAUCUCUUGAAUAGCUUUGACUUUGUCAGGAUCGACUUCUUUGCCUCUCUGGCUCACAAUGAAUCCUAGAAGUUUCCAGAUCUGACUCCAAAAGUGCAUUUAGACGGGUUUAAGCGCAGUCUAUAUUUCCUCAAUCUUACAAACAACUUCUUCAGAUGAAUAACAGCUCAUCUUUUGUCUGAGACUUGGCGAUCAUUGUCAUCCACAUAGACCUUCAAUUUCCAUUAUGUAUUCUAUCAUUGGAAAAGAAGUCACCAUGGCCCUUGAUAGGUUGCCCCAGGCAUUUUUCAGGCCGAAAGGCAUUACCUUAUAACAGAAAGUGCCCCAUGGUGUAAUGAAAGUUGUUUUCUCCAUAUUUCCGGGAGGACAUUUAAUCUGAUUAUAUCCUGAGAAUCCGUCCAUGAAGGAGAAUACAGAGAACUGAGAUGUGUUAUCUACCAAUACAUCAAUGUGAGGUAAAGGAAAAUCAUCUUUGGGACUAGCUCUAUUCAGGUCUUUGUAGUCUACACACAUUCGAACUUUUCCAUCUUUCUUCGGAACUGGCACAAUAUUAGCAAUCCACUGGGGGUAAGCUGCAACAGCUAGAAAACCUGCAUCAAACUGCUUCUUGACCUCUUCUCUAAUCUUGACAGCCAUGUCUGGUCGAGUUCUUCUCAACUUCUGCUUGAUGGGCGGGCAUUUCGGCUUCAACGGUAGCUUGUGCACAACUAUGUCGGUGUCGAGUCCUGGCAUAUCCUGAUAUGACCAAGCAAACACAUCCACAUAUUCAUGUAGUAGCUCGACUAGUUCCUCUUUCACACUUUUUUUCAAAGCAGUUCCGACCUUAACUUCCUUUCGAUCCUCCUAAGUCCCCAGAUUGAUCAUAUCCACUGGUUCCUGAUGAGGCUGAAUCAUCUCUUCCUCUUGUUUCAAAAGUCUAGUCAACUCUUCUGGGAGUUCACGGUCUUCCUUAUCAUCCUCUUCAUCUUGGUUAACCGGGAGGUCGAAGUCAUAAGGAAUUAUAGCAUUGUCGUGUUCAAUGGAUCGAGUUAUUAAUGAUCUGCAUGGAAAUGAUUUUUCUUUUUAGCGGAAGAUUUUGAAAAAUGAAAGUGAUGUGAAAUCAAAAUUGCCAUUUUUUAAUUUUGUUGUUUAUUUAUUUGUAAAAAAAAUUAAAAAGAUGAAAGACAGGGAUCUCAAAAAAUGUGCUUUGUAUUGAUGAUAAGGCUUAAAUAUUAACACAAAAUGGGCCCUACAAAGCUAUCCAUAUGCCUUGGGCAUGGCAUAAAAAAAAUUAAAAAGAUGAAAGACAGGGAUCUCAAAAAAUGUGCUUUGUAUUGAUGAUAAGGCUUAAAUAUUAACACAAAAUGGGCCCUACAAAGCUAUCCAUAUGCCUUGGGCAUGGCAUUGGAUGUUUCUAGAAAACAAUAAAUUACUUUGAAAAAGAAGCUAUAUCUGGAACAUCUGUUGCCUUCCAGUUAGUGAGAGCAGCAUCCGGAGGUCCACAAAACACCAUCUUGGACAAAUCUGGAUCUUCAUCUUCAAGAGCAUUCACUUGAUCAUCACUUAGGAAACCAACUUUGGAGAAUAUUUCCUGGAUGCUAGGAACCUUCCCCUGAUGUAUCUUCUGAUCUUUGAAAAGUUCAAUAGACGGUUGAUAUCCUAAUCCACACUUGUCUUUCUUCUUUGGUAAUUCAAUCACUGUGCCCCAACUUCCAGGGCAACCAGCUUCAAUUGCAGCUUUCACACUCUUCCACGAGGACAUGACCCCCUUGGGUUCUUCAACAAGUUUCGGCUUAGUCUGGACCACAUUGACCACUUCAAGGGCUUGGCGAGGAGUUUCAACAAUGUCUUCACCUACUUCAAUGUAUCUGAAAGAAGUCAAAUGGCUGACGAAAAUAUCUUCCUCUCCGGAUAUUGAUACCAGCUUACCAGAAGUAACAAACUUCAGCUUCUGGUGAAGUGUCGAGGUGACAGCUCCAGCAGCAUGGAUUCAAGGUCUACCUAACAGACAGCUAUAGGCAGGUCUAAUAUCCAUUACCUGGAAGGUAAUACGGAAAGUUUGAGGGCCAAUCAGGAUUGGGAGGUCAAUCUCCAUAAUAACUGUUCGCUUAGACCCAUCAAAAGCUUUUACUAUCAAAGCACUGGGUCUCAUCUGCACCCCUUCAAUAUUCAAUUGUGACAGGGUAGUCUUAGGUAACAUGUUCAAGGAUGAACCUGUAUCUACCAGUACUCGAGCCAAGGUAACAUCUGCACACUGAAUGGAGAUAUGAAGCGUCAUAUUAUGUUCUCGUCCAUUAGGGGGUAAAUCAUCAUCAGUGAACAUCAAACAACUACUAGCAUUGAGAUUAGCAACCACAUUAUCAAACUGAAUAACACUGAUGUCUUCUGCCACAUAAGCUUCGUUUAAGAACUUCAAUAAUCAUCAGUGAACAUCAAACAACUACUAGCAUUGAGAUUAGCAACCACAUUAUCAAACUGAAUAACACUGAUGUCUUCUGCCACAUAAGCUUCGUUUAAGAACUUCAAUAGAGCAGUCCUAUGAGCCUUAGAACUCAUAAGUAGAGGAAGAAUGGAGAUUUUUGAAGGAGUCUGGUUGAGCUGAUCUAUGACCUUGUAAUCACUCUUCUUGAUGAUCUUCAAGAAUUCUCUAUCCUCUUUAGCAGUCACUGCUUUCUUAGAUAAGCCUUCUCCUGCUUCUGGAGGAUUUACCUCUUUCCCCUUUGUUGGUUCAACUGUUGGUGCACUUUCUUUGUUUGGGAUCACUUCAGGAGCGAAAAACCUUCCACUUCGAGUCACACCACUAGCUCCAGCGAUGUUAGUCACGUCUGGCUCUUUCAAGAUUACUGGUUUGUUACCCACAUAAACUACAGGCUCAUAGUUCCAAGGCACUGCUUUGGUACUGUCAAAUGAGAAUGGAGCGGGAACAUAGAUAACCAUGGGCUCAAUCUUCUUCACUGGCUCUAGGUCAACAUUUCUCUUAUAAGGGACCACAAAAGGCUUGGGAAACCUCUCUUGAUCAAAUACAGGCACAAUCACAGCAACAUCCUCAUCAAUCUUUGCUCUAAUGAACUGAAUAACCCGUUGAUCCAUCAAACGUUAAAGAUAAAUUUUGAAUUCACCACACUAAUCAGGGUUGGAUGAACACACCACACAAUUAUCAUGUACUCCAUUCAUCAAUUCUGCUUCAAUCAAUCUAGCAUGGACCACCGUUAAAAGAGUCUUCAACUUGAACACAUCCUUUAUCAAUCCAUCAUCAGUUGAACUAUCUAUAGCAUUGACACCUGAACCAUCAUAUUUAGGCAAAGGAUUGUUCCCCACAUUUGGAACAUCAGCAAAAGACAAUAUUUUCUGAUCUAUCAACUCUUGGACCCGAAGCUUGAACACCUUGCAAUUCUCUGUUGUAUGACCCUCUGAAUUAUCAUAAAAGGCACAUCUAGCAUUCUCAUCAUACCAAGGCUUAUGCGGCUUCGGCAUUGGAGGUAAUGCCCUUGGCGAAACAGUCCCAUUCUGAAUCAGAUACGGUAGCAAUUAAGUGUAAGUCAUUGGGAUAGGAGUGGUAUUCACAUUAUUGUACUGUUGAUAUGGCCUCUGUUGAUUUGCUCAUUGCUGCUGAGUUGGACGUGGUUGAUUAUUUUGUUGAUUUCUCUGUUGAUGUUGAGGUGGAGGAGCCUGGAACUGAGGUUGUGGAGCUUGAUAUUAAGGAACUGGAACUUGAUAGUGAGGUAUCAGAGCUGGAAUAGGAACAUGAGCAAUUGGACGAUAAGGCAUGGUUGGAUAUUGAGCAGCUGCUACGUAAGGGUACUGAUAAUAAGGCACAGAAGCAGGAGCCCUGGGUGGUACCCUCCCCCUUUGAGAAGAAAUGACGCUAGUCUCUCCCUCCUUCCUCUUGAAUCCGUUGAAAGGCUUCUUCAAGAUUGGUUGACUGCUGGAACCUCCCUGGAUUUUACACACUACUGAUCAAUCUUUCAUAAUAUUGGCCCUACAAGGUUCCCAUGAAAAUGUCAAUCAAUUCACGAUCAACCAGCGGCGGGUGCACCCUUGCAGCCAAUUCUCUCCAGCGUUGUGCGUAUUCUUUAAAAGAUUCAUUGUCUUUCUGGGGCAUACUCUGAAGCUGAGUACGGUUUGGUGCCAUGUCAGUAUUAUAUUUGUAUUGCUUUACGAAUGCUUAAGCCAACUCAUCCCAAGUGUGGAUGUUGCUACAUUCCAAUUGCAUGUACCAGUCCAAAUAUGCCCCAGUUAGACUGUCCUGAAAGCAAUGGAUCAUGAGCUUAUCAUCUCUGGCAUAGGCAUCCAUUUUUCUGUAAUACAUUUUCAAAUGUAUGUUAGGACAUGUGAGGCCUUUGUAUUUUUCAAAUUCAGGCGCUUUGAAUUUUGGAGGAAUCACCACGUCUGGGACUAGACACAUCUCCAAGGCACUUAAACAGGUUGAGUUAUGUCCUUCUAAGAUUCUUAGCUUUUCGGCCAGAGCAUGACACAUCAAGAUAGCCUCAGAAUCUUGGGCAGCAGUAGGGAUGAGCAUUAGAGAAGCUCCAUUAUAAUUCUGCAUUUCAAACUCGUUCUGGAGCUCCUCAUCAGUGUGGGGCAUGACUACUUGAUUGACUAUCGGAGGUCCUUGCACAGCGACUCCAUCAGCUACUCUAGAAGUAUACGCAGGUGGAGGCACAUGAGUUCUUUCAGGCGGUGGAACAAAACCUGGAGGAAGACCGUAGAUAACGGGAUUUGGAAUAGGAACUGAAGGUCCUGACUGAAGAGCAACCCCUUGAACUAGAGCAUCGAAUGAGUUCUUUCAGGCGGUGGAACAAAACCUGGAGGAAGACCGUAGAUAACGGGAUUUGGAAUAGGAACUGAAGGUCCUGACUGAAGAGCAACCCCUUGAACUAGAGCAUCGUUCCUUGCAGCAGCGGUAACACGUGCCUUUUCUUCCCUUCUAGCCAGAGCUUGUAUAGCCUCAAAGAUCUGCUCGAUCUUGCUUUUGACAGAGUCCAUCUCCUCUCUGAAGGAAGCUUGUUCUUCUCUAACUACAUACAUGAUUCUUCUUGUGUUGGAGCGAGUAGCGUAUGCACGUUGAGGAAUCAGCUUGAACUACUAGAGACGAGGAAAAAUGGAAUGAGUUUUUGUUUUGAGAAAUAAAAUGCAUGAUGCAUAUGUUAAUGCACGUGGAUUUAAAAAUGUCUUUUAUGCUUAUGUUCAAUUUUAUUUUCAGGGAACCGUGUUAGAUUCCUUGUUAUUUAACAAGCAUUCGAAGAGAUCACGGGGAAUAAAACAAGAAUGGAACCAAACUUUUUGUACAAAAGAACUCAAAAUCCUUCAUUCAUUCAAUUCAAAACAGAGUACAAGGAUUGAGUACAAAAUAUUCUUUCAAACAUAAAGGAAUGUACAAAAAACCAGGGUUAGACUGUAGACUUCUUUUUGUUAAGCUCUUCCAACUCUCCUUUGAACCUUUUCAUCAUGUCUUCACAAAGAUAGAUAAAGCCAGUCACUGAAGGAGGGAUGUUGUCAUUGUCUAUGUCUUCCAGAGCACAUCUUAGCAUCAAAGGCAUAUUCUUAGCCAUGACAUUACAGAAGUCUAUCAAACUGGCAAACUUGUCUCGAUACUCAUUUCUUUCUUCAUGUAAAAACUGGAUGGUUUUCUUGCAGACUGCCAAACUAGCAUUCACAUUUUCCCCUGCGUUCAUCCAAUCUUCACCUUCUCGUAGCAAAGAGUCAUGUCGGCCUCUCCAGUAUCGUUCCCACUCAUUAGCAUUUUCAACCUCCUGGCACUUUCCUUUCCAUAUUUCAGGUGUAACCUGAGUAGCAGCCAGAGCACUCUCUUUACUACAGCGUUCUCGUUCUUCCCUUUCUUUUGACUCAUAGAGUGAAACACUGAGGUUGGCUAUCUCAGCCUCAAGCGUCUCUCUUAUCUCCUUCUUUUGUUUUGUGGCGAGCUUCCACCAUUUCUCUUUCUCACGACAAUCCCUCUCAGCCUUUUUCAGUUGGUUUUUGACGGUAUUCAAGCAGCUGUCAGCCUGAUCUAAACCAUGCUUGACUCUUUUUCUUUUAUACUCUUCCUUAUCCACCUUUUCCAUAUUUACCUGAAGCUGCAUUUUAUUCCUCUCGAGUUUCCAUUUAAACGCAUUCUUUUCAUUAGUGAUCAGGUGUAGGUUCUUCAACAACUCUUCAUUUUCCUUUGUAAGUUUCUCUAAAGAAGCUCGGAGUCCUUCUGCCUCCUUAAUUGGGACAUGAGUAGGUUUAGGCUCGGGAAGAGGACCAGACAUCUCUAUUUUGAAAGGCAUCUUGAUUGAUCUUACUCUUUCUUUUAUCCAUUGAAAGUAUGGCUCUUUGGUGAUACAAUUCUUCUUUCCUAGGCCAGCCUUACCUUUCCUGUUGACCUUUUCCCAUGCCUUCUUGAUCCUUGCAAACAAAGUUGGAUUCUCAACUCCUAGGUCAUGCAGCAAAAAGGCUUCCAAAGACUUCUCCUCAUGAGGUCCCUCCAGUGGGUACCCAAGUUUUCUCAUGGAUAAGACUGGAUUAGCAUUAAUACAACCUCGAGUACCAAUGAGUGGUAUGUUGGGGAAGUCCCAACAACUGGAUAUGAUUUUUGUAUCAUCAUACACCCUAGAGUACCAAGAAAUAUUGCUGGAUCGGAGUGAUCCCAACCUCUGGGGCCAACUAGCAUCCUUCUGAUCCACAAAGGGACCCCUAUUUGGAAGAUGGGUCUGCAACCAUGUGUACAAUAGAGGGGCACAACAAGCAACCAUUCCUCCCUUCUUUGCACUUCUCCAAGUCAUAUAAUAGAACACAUCAGCAAGAAGGGUAGGCACUGGAUUCUUCGUGAGGAAGAUGCAAAUGGCAGUCAUGUCUACAAAAUCGUCAAAGUUUGGGAACAAAACGAUUCCAUAAAUAGCCAAGGCAAUAGUAGCAUAGCAAGCCUCCCAACUUUGGGCCUCUAAUAGGGAGUAAGCUCUCUCUAUAAGAAAAUUGAGUGGAAACCCUUUGGUAUUUCCUUUCACUCCCAGGUUUGUAGUAACGUCCUUCUUAUGCAUGUGAAGGGCAGCAACUAUAACUUCAUGUUCCAAGGUCCCUUCGACACCCAUAAAUGGCAGUUUGUUUUUUAUGGGAAUACCAACAAGAUGUUCAAAUUCCUCCAACAUUGGUGCUAUUUGAAAAUCCUGGAAGGUGAAACAUCUCAUUGGUGAAUCAUAGAACUGGGCCAAGGUCAAAAGUACCAAAUUCCUCCAACAUUGGUGCUAUUUGAAAAUCCUGGAAGGUGAAACAUCUCAUUGGUGAAUCAUAGAACUGGGCCAAGGUCAAAAGUACCAGUGGGUCUGCUUCUUUGUUCAAGAGACUGAGCAGAUUUCCAUAAUGCUUCCUAAAGUUGAUCUUGUAGACUGGAUGGAGCUGAGAAACCAAUUCUUGUAGAACGUCUAAUUUAGGAUCUUUGAACUUGUAUGAGUAUAUGCUUCUCUUGUUCGAUCCCAUACUCUCUAAAUGCUUAUAACAUUGAUCCUCUAGUUCCCUGGAAACAAAAUGAAAAUGUUAUGUUUUGAUUAUGUGAUGAACGUGCAUGGUUUUAGAGUUACAGGUAACAUCAAACUCAGGUUGGGAAGAGUAACAGGAAAAAACUGGUAUCUCUGAUUAUAGGCACUCCAUGGGUAGGCUCUAUGGUUGAUAGGUUCCCAGAGUCAUGGAUCCUUCUUGAGAAUAUUAGUGUCAUGAAGAAGACUCGUUGAACAAUAAUAACCUCAAAAUGAUCUCUUCUAGGUGAGGUUUUCGUAUUGUCCCAAUGAGGAAGGCACCUCGUGGGCCAAUACUACACAACCAUCGAUUCCAAGGUUCUAAAAAAGGUCCCUAGAGUCACUUAUUCCACAUGAAAGCGUUAUCGCCAUGACGAAGGCUCGUCGGACAAUAACAUCUCCAAGAGAAUCUACUCUAGGCGGGGUCUUCGUAUUGUCCCAAUGAGGAAGGCUCCUUGUGGGCCAAUACUACACAACCACCAUCUUAAUCCUAUGUUUUUUCCUCAGACUCGGGUAGAGAGCCUAUCUCACAAAGUACGAAUAAUCAGAGAUCCCCACAAAUGCCAAUGAGAACCAAUAAACAAAUCACAAAUAACAAUACAAUGAGAUAUCAACAACAACAAAAAGAUAGAAAAAUAAAUCAAACAAAGCUAACACUAAACACAAAUAAAACUGAGUUAGGUCUGACUCUCUCUAGGUUGGAGCUCUCAGUCCCCAGCAGAGUCGCCAGCUGUCGUAUCUCGAAAAACGCGAUCCUUCGCGAGGCGCUCGCACGCUCGCGGAAAAGAUGUUCGAACAGAGUCGCCACCGAACUUUAUUUAUUCCAAUUAAGGAAAGGGAAAAUAUUAAUAAACCCCAAAAAAACAAAAAGAAAAUGGUCGUCGCAACCAAAUUCGGGUUCGGGAGUCGGUUACGCAAGGGGAAGGUAUUAGCACCCCUCACGUCUGUUGUACUCAACGGGAACGACUUAGUUAAACUUAUGAUAGAGUGUUAGCUAAUGUUAAUUUAUUAUCUUCUACUUAUCGAGCGAGAAAAAGAAAGAAAGAAAGGAAAGACUUAGAUUUUUUUUAUAUUAAUGUGCCUGACAAGAUUUCGCAAUCCUGCUCCUACGUAUCUUCAGGUGCUAUGAAGAACUCAAGGCAUACGUAGUUCUACCCAAAGAGAACUACUGGGUGGAUUGCUUUUAAAGAAAGUGAUGCUUGGAUCAUAUUUGAGCGUAAAACCUUUACUUGCUGCUCGCUAUUGGAGGCUGAAGUCUUUGUUUGUUUCGCAUCAAAAUGGAUGUUGCAUACUCUCUUCUGAAAAUGUUUUCAUGGUCGCGCAAGGGUGGAAAACAAGUUUGAUUGGUUUAAGUGUUUUGUUUGGAUGACGAUUACUCGAAUGGCCGAGUAAGGCUACUCGUAUCCAAGUGCUCGAGAAGAGGAAUAAAAGGCUCUAGACCAUCUCCCUUUUCAUCCUUAAUUUGUGAAAGAAGUUAAAUAAUCUUAAAGUAUUUUGGACGGACGAUAAAUACUCGAAUGGCCGAUUAUGGCUACUCGUAUCCAAGUACUCGAGGAAGGGAAUGGAAGGCUCCAUACCACCUCCUUUUUCGUCUAAGUUUGUUGCGAAAUUGAGUUUAACUAAAGGUUUGAUUAUGAAAGUAAUUUGGAUGUGGCGGGGGCUUAGAAGUUUUUAACAGAUGUCAAUUUCUUGAAUGGCCGAGUAAGGCUACUCGUAUCCAAGUAAUUGAGGAGAGGAAUCGAAAACUCGAGACCAUCUCCCUUUUCAUCUUUUUUGAAAUAAUGUUUAAAUAUAAUUAGGUAUUUUGAAUUUGAUUAGGGAAAAGACACUCGAUGUUGGGUCGAGGUUUUUAUUAAUUGCGUUUGAAUUGAAACAUACAAAAUGAUUUGAUGGUUUUGAAAAUGAUGGAGAAGCGAAUAAUGGAAAUGAUUCUGAUUUGUGAAAAUUGCUCGACGUUGGAUCGAGUGUUUUUUUUAAGUGUUGAUUUUAAUCUUCGAAUUAACGAUCAACUGAUACAAUAAAGUAAAUGAAAGCAGUAAACUUAUUACAUAUUUACGGGAAUGAGGGUACACUUUAUCGAAUGGGGAUAUGACACAAUAACUAAAUCAUACAAGUUUUGAAAGACAGUUGUAAAAAUAAAAGAAUCUCGUUGUAAGAAGGCCCAAGAGAAAGCGAAGGGACUCGAAAUAAAAUCAGAAAUUUAGCGUAAUGUUUAAGCAGUCGUAAAGCGAUUCAUGUAUGAAUCAUCCUAUCCGAGGCCGAUCGACAAAUAUUUAUGCAUUUAAGCAAUUUCUGAAGUUAAAUUGAAUUUUUAACUUAAAAAUUGUGAUGCAUCUGUGAAAAAUCGAUGGGACAAAUAAAAUCGAUUUUUUUUAUUUAAAAUUAACAAAUAUGACAAUAACAAUAAACAAUAAUAAUAAUAAUAAUAAUAAUAAUAAUAAUAAUAAUAAUUAAUAAUAAUAAUAAUCAAUAAUAACAAUUAAUCAAUAAUAAUAAUAAAAUAAUAAUAAUAAUGAAAACAGUAAUAAUAAUUAAUCAAUAAAUAUUAAAAACAAUAAUAAUAAUAAUAAUCAAUAAAAAAUAAUAAUAGACAAUAUAAUAAUAAUAAUAAUAAUAAUAAUAAUAAUAAUAAUAAUAAUAAUAAUCUAUACAAAAUAAUAAUAAAUAAUAUAAUAAUAAUAAUAUAUAAUAAAAAUUUCUAUAAUAUAAAUAGUAAUAAACAUUAUAAUAAUAAUGAUGAUGAUGAUAAUAAUAAUGAGGAUAAAAAUAAUAAUAAAUAAUAUAAUAAUAAUAAUAUAUAAUAAAAAUUUCUAUAAUAUAAAUAGUAAUAAACAUUAUAAUAAUAAUGAUGAUGAUGAUAAUAAUAAUGAGGAUAAUAAUAAUAAUAAUAAUAAUAAUAUAGUAAUAAUUAUAGUAAUAAUAAAACAUGAACAAAACAAAUAAAGAAAUGAGAGGAAAAAAAAAGAGAGAGAAAAAGGUGGGACGGUGCUGUUCUACUGAAAAAGAGAAAUGAAAGCAUUAUUAUUUAUUUCAUUUUUUUUAAAAUCCACUAAAAAGAUGACAAGUGUCUAAAGGAAAGAAAAAAAAAAUUUGCUCUUCAUCCUGCUUGAUGAACCGUGACAACAACAAACACCAUUUUUUGAAUAAAAAUUUUGUCCUCCUUCCUCAAAUUCACAUGAAUAGCAACAACAACAUAUGUUUAUUUUCAUUAUUAUUUUUUUUUCUUAACAACAAAGCUCAACUUCUCACUUCAUCAAUCAAAAUGCAGUGCCACACAAAAAGAAAAGAGAAAAGUAAAGUCAACCUCCGAUGAAGAUCCACGGUGCUCGGCGGUGAGGGUGGAGUUCUGAAGGUUGAAGGAGUUGCAUAGGGUUGUGACCAGAGCACAAUGGUUUUUUCCGGAGUUUAACGAAUGUGUUUCCGGUGUGUAGAGGUGUGUUAGUAUACUUCAUUUUUCUUCCUCCGUUUUAGCUUACAAUUCCAUUUCCGAGUUUUGUUGUUCCUCUUUAUUUGUGGCUUAUGUUUUGUUUUCUAGAUUUGGUUUGAUGUAGGUUAUUAUGUGAGUUAUAUGAGAGGAGGAGAGUUAUGUCAUGGUUUAUGUGUUGUUGUGAGGAUGAAAAAUGAGUUAUGUGUUUGUGAGAUGUUGGAAGUUGUUGUUGAUGUUUAGAGAGGGAAAAAAAGAGUAUGAAGAGUUAUGGUGUGUUGGUAUGAAAAUGAUUUUGGUGGUUAUGUGGUGAUGGAAAAGAUGAAGGUGAUUAUGUUGCAGAGAAGAUGAUGAGGAAAAAUGAAGAUUGUUUUGGUGAGUAGAGUGGAGAAGAAGGAAAAGUGAGGGUGGGUGAAAAAAAGUUGCAGGUGUUCUUCUUACGUCAUACACCAAAAGAACUUCUUCUCGAAAAAAUAUAAUAUAUUGAGAUGAGAAAACCUCACGUGCAUGAAAGAAAAACAAAAUAUCUCUUGGACAGUGUUUGGAUCUUUCUCUUUGAGAAAAAAAUGUUUUUUUUUAACAUGUGGGUGUGAGUUGGUCACAUGGCCUUUCAUGAAUGGAGAAGGAGAACAUAUUUUUCUUGAUUUUUUAAUUUUAGCAAGUGCUAAAAACUAAAAAAUAAUAAUUUAAUUUUAGCAAGUGCUAAAAUCUAAAAAAUAAUAAUUUUUAAAAAAACAUAAAAUAAAAACGUAGAAAAUUCUAUUUAAUCGGAUAAAAAAUAAACGGAUAAAAAAUAAAUAAAAAUUGGGUGAAAGAAUGCUAAAAAAUUAAUAAACUAAACACAUUAAAUUAAUCAGCGCGAAAUAAAUUUUUCGAAAACAUACAGGUUUUGAUCAAAUUUUGCAAUAAAAAUUUACCAAUUAAAAGGCUCAGGCGGAUAAAAAUGCGACAUAAAAUGUAGUCGAAAAAUUAAAAUGAGCACACCGGGUUAAACUACACGAACCGUAGAUUAAGAAAACCGUCGUAUGAAAGCUCAAUUUUGAAAUUCUUCGCCCGCUAAUUUGAUGCACAAUUAAGAAAUGAUUCGACCGAUCUGUUUGUAGGUCUGAAAAUUUUAUCUGGCUGAUAUUCUAAACUAUACGGAACAAAAAUGCAUGUUGUGACAAAUAUAAAAUGCAAACGUCUUGUAAAUGAAAUAAAUUGCUGACUGAAUAAAUGUUAGCAGACAAUCAGACGUAAAUGAAUCUCUCUUAGGCCAUUUGCUUCUGAUUCUUAAAUACAAAUAAAAUCAUGCAAAGAUUCAGAUGACGACAAUACUCUUAAUUGUCACCCUCUGAUCCUCUGAAAUCAUGAUAAAAUGGAAACAAAUGAUGGACUGAGAUUGAGAAAUCAAACCUUUUGACUUCUUAAUCUAUAAAUGAUUGAAUGAACAUCAUCAAGAUCAUAUAAAAUUCCAGAACUCCUGACUUUUCAUCUAAACCCUGAUAUACCCUUUUAAUUGAAGAAAUGCAUGGCAAAAUGGAUUGAUUUAUGUUAUGCUGAUGCGAGUGAAAAACUCAGGGUGAAAUUUAGGGUAUGACAACUGGAUUGACCCGCUAUGAGAAUACUAUAUAGAAUGUUAUGCUAAGUGUCAUAAGUUUUUCUCAUGGUGAUAAUGGUGUAUACCCCCCCUUUGACAUGAAACCAUUAUGUACCCUAGAUAUAGAGUCGAGUGUCUUAUUGUUGAUCAAACAUUGUCUGUAACUGGAUGACCAUAAAGAUAGUUGAUGGGUACUCCACGAAGCAUGUUGAGGGACAUGAGUAACCAAGAUGGAAUUUGCCCAUCCCGUGUAACAGGAUAAAUAUCUACGGGCCCAAUAUUGAAUUGGACCAGGAUGACACGGUCUAUGCCUUGAGUUCAAUAUGGACAUGAGGACAAAAGGGUAAUUAUACACAUAAGUAUUAUCACAAAAGGAUUUGUCAGAUCACAUGACAUUUUCGUGUCUUGGGUAGCAGUGAUGUGUUGCUAGAUACCGCUCAAUAUUUAUCAUGUUAAAUACGUGAUUUAAUAUAAUUGCUAAUGUCGCGAAAACCUAUAGGGUCACACACAAAAGGACGGAUUGAUGAGAGAUAGAGUAACUAAGGAACACCGUAAGGUACGGUGCACUUAAGUGAAUUGUAGAACAUCGUAAGGUACGGUGUACUUAAGUAAAAACCUAUAGGGUCACACACAAAAGGACGGAUUGAUGAGAGAUAGAGUAACUAAGGAACACCGUAAGGUACGGUGCACUUAAGUGAAUUGUAGAACAUCGUAAGGUACGGUGUACUUAAGUAGAAUAUGAUAUAUGGUAAGUACCAUACGCUUAAGUGAUUUUGGCAUAUCAUAAGAUAUGGGCCACAUACACUUAAGUGAGUUUUUUAGCUUACAGCCCACACAAGUGGUUCUAUAAAUAGAACCCUUGUGCAUAAGCAUUUGUGUAGUUGUAAUUUCAUUUCUCUCUCAAACACUCAAAGCCUUCAUUCGUAGCAGCUAGCACUGAGAUUGAAGGAAUCCGUUCGUGUGGACUAAGUAGAGGCGUUGUCACCAUUCAACGUUCGUGAUCGCUCCGUACAUCUGCAUCAAAGGUUUCAAUCGCCACAAGAGGUAAUGAUUGUAUCACUGAUCAUGCCCAUUCGUAAGAAUCACUAAAGGAGAAAAAAAAUUAAUUCCGUUGUGUUUUGGAACACUCUUCUCCUUCAGUGGUAUCAGAGACACUUACGGAACCAUGCAUCUGAUAGUUGUUUAUUUUCUGUAUUAAUACGAUUAAAAGACAGAAUGAAUCAAAAAAUAAAUGAGUAAUUAAAUUUGGCAUCAAGUGUGUACGAUUUGGAUGAUUGAUGUUGACUAUGCUUCGGAAUCCGACGUUAGUAUGGUGAAGCAGCGAUACAUCGAUCGUCCAUAAGUUACGCAAUUGAGAUCGAUCAAGUUAUAUAUAUGAUAUAAGUAAUCCUAAUGCAAAAUACGGUAUAUAUGAUAUAUUGUUUCUGUUUUGUUCAUUCAAACACUUAAUGGUUGUUUUCCUUUGAGCGAUCAAUGGUCAUUGGCUUCUUGAUCCGACAUUAGUAUGGUGAAGCAAUGACGUGUUAAUCAAUCAUACUGAAUUAACAAUGAGGUGUGCUUGACGAUCUGAAAUUGGUGCAUUAGGGUUCAUGACGGCACAAGGGUUGUGCUGUCAAAGAGUUAUGCAAUUAGGGUUGUGAUUACGCAAGAGUUGUGCUUUAAAGUAUCAAGUGUUGAUGUGAAAAAUGACGUAGAUUUCAAAUGAAUUGUUCAUUAAAAUUUUGCGUUGGGGCGCUGCUCCUAUCAACCCCGCAAGGGGGCGGUGCCCCCUUAAUCCCUGUCCGCUGAACGGUCAGUGGAGCCACCGUCCGCUGACUGGGCAGCGGAACCCCCGACUAACUCAGCGUAGUGUGAUCGGUCGCCGAAAUUUUAUUUGGUUUUAAUUAAUUAACAGAAUUUAAAUUAAUAAUAAUGUGUUUAUUAUUAUUGUCUUGUGGUGAUCGGUUAUGGCUUUAGUUUUCCUUUAUUUUGUUUUGGGAUUUUAAAAUACGACCUCCGUGUCGUGCCUCUCUUUUAAUCUCUUAAUGUAACUUAUUUUCCCAUCUCACUCCCUCGUAUGUAAAACGAGUUUCUUUUAUGUAAUGUAAUGUUAUGAAGAAAGAGAAGAAUACAAUAUCAAAGGAGGACAACCUUGAAGAUCUUGCUUGGAGAAGCUUAGAUCGUUAUUAGAUUAGCUUAGGUUCUCUCAUUGGCUUGGGGGAACAAUUGCGCUAGGGGUCAUAACUGUUUCAUUAUGUAUGUUGAUGCAUAUGAAUGUAUGUUGAUGCAUGUGAGAGACGAUUUAUAUGAUAAAUAAACCAGUGAGAUCAUAAUAAUUGCAAAUUCCCUCAAAUUAAAUAUUAAGUUUAUGCUUUCCAAGUUUUAGCACUCAUCAAGACUAGUAUCGAAUAAUGUAGGUUUCGCCUACGCGAGGUGCAUAUUCUAUAUUAGUAAGGUGCGAUGGGAUAAUUGUAAUAUCCAAUUGCUAAAACAAUGGGUCAAACUUAACUAAACAAAUUAUAAUAAGAUUAUAUAUGUUUAGAAGCAAGAGUUGGAAAUGAUCCAUGUGAUGGAUUGGAAUAAGGAGUUAUUCACCCAACUAAAAUAUUCGAGAGUUGUAUUAGAUACAAUUGGAAGGAGUUCCUACCUAAAUAACCUAGUUUUAUGUAAUCCGCCUACGUGGACUUAAAACAAAGUGAAAUAUGGAUCUCGACCCACUAGAAAAUCUUCCAACAGGAUUUUCCGAAUCAAAUGGUGAGGGUCAUUUGUUUUGAGUAAAAUAGUGGAAGCAUAUUUAAUUAAAGGCUUAAUUAAAUAUGUUAUUGAUACUUAUAUUUUCAUUAUUUUCAUGUAGAUUACCAUGACAACAAACACCUCUAACAACAUUUUACGAUCAAUCCUUGAUAAGGAAAAAUUGUCUGGGACAAUUUUUUUGGAUUGGCACCGAAAUCUGAGGAUUGUCCUCAAACAUGAUAGAAAGUUGUAUGUCUUGGAGAAACCUGUUCCUGAAGAGGAACCUCCUAGUUUUGCACCUAAGGCAGAAAGAGAUGCUUAUAAGAAGCAUGUCGAUAAUGCCAAUGAAACUUCUUGCCUCAUGCUAGCUACUAUGAACUCAGAGUUGCAAAAGCAACAAGAGAACAUGGCAGUGUUCGAUAUGAUCGAACACCUGAAGAUGCUCUAUCAAGAGCAAGCAACACAUGAAAGGUUUGAAGUUUCAAAAUCCCUUUUUCAAGGCAAGUUAGCUGAGGGAGCCCCUAUAGGUCCCUAUGUGCCCAAGAUGAUUGGGUAUGUGGAGAACCUUGGGAGGUUGGGUUUUCCCCUCGGAAAGGAACUUGCGACUUAUUUGAUCUUGCAAUCGUUUCCAGAUAGAUUCAAUCAAUUUGUCCUUAAUUUUAAUAUGAAUGAUAUGGACAAAUCUCUUCCUGAAUUGCUAGCCAUGUUAAUAACUACUGAGCUGAAUUUGAAGUCAAAAGGGAAGUCCAUUCUGAUGAUCAGAAAUGGAAAGAGACAAAACAAAAGACCCACCAAGCAGGGUGAUAAAGGGAAAGGCAGGGAAGUUACCAAACCCAAACCCACUGCUCCUGCUUUGAAGCCUAGUGGAGGCAUAGCAAAGGAAGGCACCCGCUUCCAUUGCGGUAAGACCGGACACUAGAAGAGAAACUGCCCAAAGUACCUGGAAGAUAAGAAUAAUGGAGUAGAUACUUCAACUUCAUGUAUUUUUGUUAUUGAAAUUAAUUUAUCUACUUCUGCAUCAUGGGUAUUAGAUAUUAGAUGCGGUUCUCACAUUUGUACCAAUGUGUAAGGGCUAAAAAGGAGUAGAGAGUCGACCUACGAGUUGACAAUAGAGCAAAGGUUGCUGCUUUAGCCGUAGGAACUUAUGUAUUGUCUUUACCUAGUGGUUUAAUAAUUCAGUUAGAGAACUGUUAUUAUGUACCUGCAAUUAGCAGGAAUAUUAUUUUCGUUUCUUGUUUAGACAAGUUUGGUUUUUCAUUUAUAAUAAAGAACAAUUGUUGUUCCUCUAUUUAUUUAAAUGAUAUAGUUCUACUGCUAGCUGCACAAAAUGAACAAUGGACUAAUAUGUCCUUAGAUGCUGAAUGCCUACUAUAACAUUAAAUAACUAAAAUGGAUGAAACGCUAAUUGAUUAAAUCCAACUACCUUUGCAUUGUCGAUUAGGCCACACAUAAAUGAGAACGCACAUUUUCAAGCUCCAUAAAUAUGGACUCUUUGACGCGUUUUGAUUAUAAAUACAUAUGAGGACACGAUUCCUGCAGAUCUUGUUUAAAUUUGGUAAGAUGACAAAGUGCUCCAUUCACAAGAAAAGGUGAAAGAGCAUAAUGAUCUUUUUGCCGCUAAUGCAUUACUGAUGUAUGUGGACAGGCAGCUGAAGCAUACCAAGGCCAGAGGAGGUUUAUUAGUAGCUUCAUAACUUUUACUGAUGAUUUUAGUAGAUAUGGUUAUGUGUAUUUAAUGAAACACAAAUAUAGAGAUCGCAUUUGAAAGUUCAAAGAUUCAAAGAAUGAAGUACAAAACCAACUAGGUAAGAAUAUUUAGAAACUCUUCGAUCAGAUCGUAGGUGGUGAGAAUUAAAGCUAGAAGUUUUGAUGACAGGCAUGCUGAUAAGAGUGUGGGACCUAUGCCCAACUUACUCUCCUCUUGGAAACACCCGCAAUGGAAGCAGUGUAAUCUGAGAGAGAGAAAUUGAAGCGCUUAUUAGACAUGGUCGCGAUGCGCAUGAUGAAGUUACGGCGCGAAAUCUUCCAAACUGCGCCUUUGGGACAUAGCGCACUAUUGACAGCACUUACACACUUAACCGUGUUCCAUCCAAGUUGAGAGACACCAUAUGAGAUAUGGAGUGUGAAGAAACAACAUAUGUCUUACAUGAAGAUUUGGGGUAUGCGAAGUUGUAUGUGAGAUUAUGUAUGACAAAUUUCUAACUAAGCUUGAGCCCAAAUCUGACAAAAAUGCUUAUUUGUGGUGUAAUCCUAAAUAACAAGAGGGUAUUACUUCUACAAAUGGCCUGCUGAGGGAAAAGUGUUUUGUCGCUCGAAGCUGCGAGUUUUCCUAGAAAAGGAUUUUGAUUUCUAAAGAAUCAGUGGGAGGAACAGUAGAAGGCUUGAAGAAAUUCAAGAAUCACAUAAGCAUCGAUGUCAGUCUUCUUUUUGAAGACCAUUGCACCUAUAGGUUUAACUAUACACGAGGAAUCUACAAGGUCAAACUUGGUUGUGUACAUGGAAUCCAUUUCAGAUUCAUGGCUUCUAGCCACUUCUCAGACUCGGGGACAGAUUAUGGCCUAUUGGUAGUCAAGCUGCAUCUUGAUCGGCAUCGAGUAAUACAUCACCUUGAUCAGGUUAUGAGAUAUCCCAUAUCUCUGCAGGUACGGUGACGUAUCCUGCUUGACCUACGCUAGUCUUGUGCUACUAUGAGCAGGUUUACUCUCCAGCACACACUUAGUGUUUUCCUGCUCUAAUUCGCUCCAUAGGUGUAUCAAUGCUUUGUGAUAUCUUGAAUUCUUCUCAAGCUCUUACUUUCUCUCCACUGAUUCGGCUUUAGAAUAAAAUCCUUUUCUAGGAAAACUCCAGUUCGAGCGACAAACACUUUUCCCUCAGAAAGGAUUGGUAGAAGUAAUACCCUCUUGGUUUAUUUAGGAUCACCCAGCAAAUAAGCAUUUGUCAGAUUUGGGCUCAAGCUUAGUUGAAAUUUGUCAUUUCACAUAAACUUCGCACCCAAAUCUUCAUGUAAAGACAUAUUGUUGUUUCUUAGCCACUCCAAUAUCUCCAUAGUGGUUCUUCUCAGCCGCCGGCGCACGGCCGGCCCUCCUUUUGGAUGGAACACGGUUAAGGUGUGUAAGCUGUGUCAAUAGGCAUGUCCCAAAAGAGUUUUGGAAGAUCGGCGUAACUCAUGCAUGGAUCGGGACAAUGUCUAUAAUAGGUUGCAAUUUCUUCUGCUCAGAUACACUGUUCGCAUUGGGGUGUUCAAGAGGAGUAAGUUGGGAUAGGGUAUCGCCACACUCUUUCAGAUGGUCAUCAACUCUAGGCUUAAAUUUCUCAACACCUUCGAUCUGAUGCGAAAGAGUUUUAAUAUUCUUUACCUAGGUUGGUUUUUGUAGCUUCUCUCUUAGAAUUCGGCUUGAACAUUCUUCAAAGGACUCUAAUUUGUGUUCAUUAAAUAGCAGCAUAGACCAUAUGCUAGCUAAAAUCAUCGCAGUAAUGUUUUAUGAGUACUAAAACCUCCUCUGCUGGUAUGUUGCAGGUCACAUACAUCCAGUAUGCAUUAGGGCGCAAAAGUCAAUUAGCUCUUUCAGCCUUCUUCUGUGAAUGGAGACUUUGUCAUCUUUCCAAUUUAAACAAGAUCUGCAUGUCUCAUAUGAUUUAUAUGCAAAAGAGUCCAAGAGUGCCAUAUUUAUUGGAGUUUGAAAAAUGCGUUUCUCAUAUUAUGUGGCCUAAUCGAGCAAUGCAAAGGUAAGUUGGAUUAACUCAUUAGGUUUCAUCCUUAUUUAGUAUUAAUGUUAUAGUAGGCAUUUCAAGAUCAAGGAGCAUAUAGUCGGCAUUGUUGCAUUUGUGGCAGUAGCAUAGAAUAUAUCAUUUAAAUAAAUAGAGCAACAAUUGUUCUUUAAUUAUAAAUGAAAAACCCAAACUUGUCUUAAACAGAAACGAAAAUAAAUAUUCGCUGCUCAUGGCAGGUACAUAAUAACAGUUCUCUAACGUGAAUUAUUAAACCACUAAGGUAAAGACAAUACAUAAGUUUCCUACGGCUAAAGCAGCAACACUUUGCUCUAAUUGUCAACUCGUAGGUUCGACUCUCUAAGCUCCUUUUUAGCCUUACACAUUGGGUAGCAAAUGUGAGAACCAGCUCUAUAUCUAAUACCCAUGAUGGCAGAAGUAGAUAUUAAUUCAAUAACAAAAAUACAAUGAAGUUGAAGUAUCUACUCGCAUUAUUCUUAUCUUCGCAGGUACCUUGGCAGUUUCUCUUCUAGUGUCCGGUCUACCCGCAAUGGAAAGGGCGGGUGCCUUCCUUUGCUAUGCCUCCACUAGGCUCAAAGCAGGAGCAGUGGGUUGGGUUUGGUAAACUUCCUGCCAUUUCGCUUUAUCAACCCUUGCUUGGUGGUCUUUUGUUUUAGUCGCUCUUUCCAUUUUCAUAGAUCAUCAGAAUGGACUUCCUUUGAGCUUGCAAAUUCAGCUGCAGUAGUUAUUUGAACAUGGCUAGCAUUGCAAGGAAGAGAUUUGUCCAAUGAUCAUUCAUAUUAAAAUUAAGGAAAAAUUGAUUGAAUCUAUCUGGAAACAGAUUGCACGAGAUCAAAUAAGUCGGCAGUUCCUUUCGGAGCGAGGGGAAAACCCAACUCCCCCAAGGUUCUCCAGCAUACCCAAUGCAUCUUGGGCACAUAUGGGACCUAAUAGGGCCUCCGCUCAGCUAACUUGCCUUGAAAAGGAUUUUGAAACUUCAAAGCCUUUCAUGUGUUGCUUGGGCUCUCUGAUAGAGCAUCUUCAGGUGUUCGAUCAUAUCGAACACUGCAACAGUUCUCUUGUUUGUAUUUGGGCAAACUCUGAGUUCAUAGUAGCUAGCUGAGGGCAAGAAGUUGCGGCCCAGUUGCAUUAUCGACAUGCUUUUUUUCUUAUAAGGCAUCUCUUUUUCUGGGCGGCUUAGGUCAAAACUAGGUAGGUUCCUCUCAGGAACAGGUUUUGCCUCAAACAUACAACUUUUCUAUCAUAGUUUUGAGGACAAUCCUCAGAUUUCGUGCCAAUCCAAAAAAAUUGUCCCAGACAAUUUUUCCUUAUCAGGAUUGAUCGUAAAAAUGAUUGUUAGAGGUGUUUGUUUCAUGGAUAAUCUAGCAUGAAGAAUAGAUGAAAAUAUAUAGUAUCAAUAACAAUGAUUAUUAAUUAAGCCUUUAAUUUAAAUAUGCUUCCAAUAUUUUAGGCUCAAAACAAAAUGACGCUCACGGCAUUUGAUUGCGGAAUCCUGUGGAAGAUUCUAAGUGGGUCGAGGAUCCAUAUUUCAGCUUUAGUUUUAAGUCACGUAGGCGGAUUACAUAAAACUAGGUUAUUUAGGUAGGAACAUCCUUGCAAUUGUAUGGCUAAUACAAGCAUCUCGAAUAUUUUAGUUUGGGUGAAUGAACUCCUUAUUCCAAUGCCAUGCACAUGGAUCAAUUUCCACUCUUGCUUCUCAAACAUAUAUAAAUCUUAUUAUAAUUUGUUUAGUUAAGUUGAACACGAUUGGUUUUAGCAAUUGGAUAUUAGCAUUAUCCCAUGCACCUUACUAAUAUCAGAAUUGCACGCUUGCGUUAGGCCGAAACUACAUUAUCGAUAACUAGUGACUUAGAUGAGUGAUGAAACCUUGAAAGCAUAAACUUAAUAUUUAAAUUUGAGGGAAUUUGCAAUUCAUUAUGAUCUCACUGUUUUAUUUAAAUGCAUAUAAAUCGUCUCUCACAUGCAUGCAAACAUACAUUCAUAUGCAUGCAACAUACAUAAUAGAAACCAGUUAUGAACCUCCUAGGCGCAAUUGUUGCCCCAAGCCAAUGAGAGAACCUAAGCUAUACCUAAUACCACGAUCUAAGCUUCUCCAAGCAAGAUCUGCAAGGUUGUCCUCCUUUGAUAUUGUGAUUCUUCUCUUUUCUCAUAACAUUACAUUAUCAUAAAAGAAUCGUUUACAUACGAGGGAGUGAGAAUGGAAAAAUAAGUGUACAUUAAGAGAUUAAAAAGAGAGGCACGACACAGGAGGUCGUAAUUUAAAAAUCGCGGCAAAACAAAAAUAAAGAAACUAAAGCCAUAACCGAUCACGCACAAGAGCAAUAAUAUAAACACAUUAUUAUUUAUUUAAAUUCUGUAAAUUAAUUAAACGGCAAAUAAAAUUUCGGCGAACCGAUCACACUAGCGCUGAGUAGUCGGGGGUCCGCUGGCCCAGUCAGCGGAGCGGUGGCCUCCACUGACCGUUCAGCGGACAGGGAUUAGGGGCACCGCGCCCUUGGCGGGGUUGAUAGGAGGCAGCGCCCCAACGCAAUAAUUUUAAUGACAAUUCCAUUUGAAAUCUACGUCAUUUUUUCACAUCAAACACUUGAUACUUUAAAAGGCACAACUCUGCGUAAUCAGCAACGACUAAUUGCAUAAACUUCUUAUUGACAGCACAACCCUUGUGCCGUCAUGAGCGCCUAAUGGCAGGCAAUUUCAGAUGGCGUCAAGCACACUCAUUGUUAAUUCAGUAUGAUUGAUGUUGAAAGAAAAAGAAAGAAAAGACAGAAGCGUCAUUGCUUCAGGCCAUACAAUGUCGGAUCAAGAAGCCAUGACGCAUUGGUCGCUCAAAGGAAACAACCAUUAAGUGUUUGAAUGAAUAAAAAACAGAAACAUAUAUAUCAUGAUAUAGCCGUAUUUUGCAUUAGGAUUACUUAUAUCAUAUAUAUACUUGAUGCGAGUCUCCAAUUGCGUAAGCUUAUGGACGAUCGAUGUAUGCGGCUGCUUUCACGCAUACUGAACGUCGGAUUCGGCGAAGCAUAGUCACAUCAAUGCAUCCAAUCGUACAGCAGCUUGAUGGCGACAAAAUUUUAAUUAGCUCAUUUAUUUUUUGAUUGCAUUCUGUGCUUUAAUCGUAUUAAUACAAGAAAAUAAGACAACAUAUCAGAUGGCCAUGGUUCCGUAAGUGUGCUCUGAUACACUGAAGGAGAAGAGUGUUCCAAAAACACAAGCGGAAUUAAUUUUUUUCUGCCUAGUGAUUCCUUAGCGAAUUGGGCAUGAGUCAGAUGAUACAAUCAUUACGCUGCUAUGUGGCGAUUGAAAACCUUUGAUGCAGAUGUACGGAGCGAUCAGCGAACAGCGUUGAAUGGUGACAACCGCCUGGCUCACUUUAGUCGAGCAACGAACCGGAUUUCUUCAAUCUGCAGUGCUAGCNNNNNNNNNNNNNNNNNNNNNNNNNNNNNNNNNNNNNNNNNNNNNNNNNNNNNNNNNNNNNNNNNNNNNNNNNNNNNNNNNNNNNNNNNNNNNNNNNNNNNNNNNNNNNNNNNNNNNNNNNNNNNNNNNNNNNNNNNNNNNNNNNNNNNNNNNNNNNNNNNNNNNNNNNNNNNNNNNNNNNNNNNNNNNNNNNNNNNNNNNNNNNNNNNNNNNNNNNNNNNNNNNNNNNNNNNNNNNNNNNNNNNNNNNNNNNNNNNNNNNNNNNNNNNNNNNNNNNNNNNNNNNNNNNNNNNNNNNNNNNNNNNNNNNNNNNNNNNNNNNNNNNNNNNNNNNNNNNNNNNNNNNNNNNNNNNNNNNNNNNNNNNNNNNNNNNNNNNNNNNNNNNNNNNNNNNNNNNNNNNNNNNNNNNNNNNNNNNNNNNNNNNNNNNNNNNNNNNNNNNNNNNNNNNNNNNNNNNNNNNNNNNNNNNNNNNNNNNNNNNNNNNNNNNNNNNNNNNNNNNNNNNNNNNNNNNNNNNNNNNNNNNNNNNNNNNNNNNNNNNNNNNNNNNNNNNNNNNNNNNNNNNNNNNNNNNNNNNNNNNNNNNNNNNNNNNNNNNNNNNNNNNNNNNNNNNNNNNNNNNNNNNNNNNNNNNNNNNNNNNNNNNNNNNNNNNNNNNNNNNNNNNNNNNNNNNNNNNNNNNNNNNNNNNNNNNNNNNNNNNNNNNNNNNNNNNNNNNNNNNNNNNNNNNNNNNNNNNNNNNNNNNNNNNNNNNNNNNNNNNNNNNNNNNNNNNNNNNNNNNNNNNNNNNNNNNNNNNNNNNNNNNNNNNNNNNNNNNNNNNNNNNNNNNNNNNNNNNNNNNNNNNNNNNNNNNNNNNNNNNNNNNNNNNNNNNNNNNNNNNNNNNNNNNNAAAGACAGUUGAUGGAUACUCCACGAAGCAUGCUGAGGGACAUGAGUAACCUAGAUUAAAUUUGCCCAUCCUGCAUAACAAGAUAAAUGUCUACGAGCCCAAUAUUGAACUGGACAAGGAUGACACGAUCUAUGCCUUGUGUUCAAUAUAGAUAUAAGGGUAAAAGGGUAAUUAUACACAUAAGUAUUAUCACAAAAGGAUUUGUCAGAUCACAUGACAUUUUCGUGUCUUGGGUAGCAGUGAUGUGUUGCUAGAUACCGCUCACUGUUUAUUAUGUUAAAUACGUGAUUUAAUAUAAUUGCUAAUGUCGCGAAAACCUACAGGAUCACACACAAAAGGACGGAUUGAUGAGAGAUAGAGUAACUAAGGAACACCAUAAGGUACGACGCACUUAAGUGGAUUGUAGAACAUCGUAAGGUAUGGUGUACUUAAGUAGAAUACGAAAUAUGGUAAGGUACCACACACUUAAGUGAUUUUGGCAUAUCAUAAGAUAUGGGCCACAUACACUUAAGUGGGCUUUUUAGCUUGCAGUGCACACAAGUGGUUCUAUAAAUAGAACUCUUGUGCAGAAGCAUUUGUGUAGUUGUAAUUUCGUUUCUCUCUCUAUCACUCAAAGCCUUCAUUCGUAGCAUCUAGCACUGAGAUUGAAGGAAUCCAUUCAUAUGGACUGAGUAGAGGCGUUGUCACCAUUCAACGUUCGUGACCGCUUUGUAAAUCUACAUCAAAGGUUUCAAUCGCCACAAGAGGUAACGAUUCUAUCAUUGAUCAUGCUCAUUCGUAAGGAUCACUAAAGGAGAAAUUUUUUUAAUUCCACUGUAUUUUGGAUCGCUCUUGUCCUUCAUGGUGAUCUCUCCCAAUGAAAAUCCAAUGGAUGAGGGAUCAGGAGGAUGCCAAGUUGUGAUCCCAAUGCUAAUGCAUAUGAUGAGAUAGAAUGAGGGAUCUUAGGGUCAAAAUUGGGGUCUUACAUAGACCUAAGUCAAAAUUCUGUGUGAAGCAACAUGUUUUGACACUUCGACACAUUAACAAAACUCAAUACACUAGGUGAUUCGACACUUCCUUGUUCUGUCGAACAACCUGCUUCGACACAAGAAAUUACAAUUCAACAUUAUAUUCAGGAUCCCAAAUUGCCAAUGCAUCAUAGUAAUUCAUUAGCUGCAACCAUUAGUAGAGUAGUUCAGAUGAUGAUAAUAAUAAUAAUAAUAAUAAUAAUAAUAAUAAUAAUAAUAAUAAUAAUAAUAAUAAUAAUAAUAACAAUUAAAAUGAGCAUCACAUGAACUUGUUUUGCAUAGUAAGCAAUGUUGAAGAAUCUGCAAAACCAAAUAACAGUUACAUUAGAAGAAGCAUGAACUGAAUUAAACAAAACAGUGAAAAAUUAAUCUAAUCGAAAUGGUAGAAAUAAGAUCAACCAACAGAUAUUAUUCUACCUUGGACAUUCAUCAUAAUCAAUAAUAAUAAUAACUCACGACUAAAUCUCUUUCCUUCGGUUGUACCACACACUCAACAAACACGUCUUUAAGUUUUUCAUGCUGAAGAAUUUGAUCAAGAACACGAUCUUCAAUGUUCACCGCACAGUUCUUGCCCUCGUCAUUAUCAGGAUUUUUAGCCAAAAAUACUAGUUCAGACAAUCGGUCCUUUUCGGCUUGUUUGCAAUAUUUGACGCACUCAGUAGUCUCGUGCAUGAGCAGAUGGUACGGGUACACAACUCUUUCUUGUCCAAUCCUAUAUGCUUUAUUGAUAUCCUAUCGUUCAACAAAAGGAUUCCAUAUAACAUCAAGUAACACAACCCUUGAUGCUCCAACUAAGUUAAUUCCUUUGGAACAAGCUUUCGAAUAUGCAAGUAGAAUCUUAGCUUCGUUGUUUGCAUCAUUGAAGUUAUGGAUUAAAACUGGUUUUCCUUCGGAGCAAUCUUGCCAUCCAUGUAGAGUAUUUUUUAGGGGUGGCAAUUGGAUCCAUUAACACAAAAUCCAUCUAAUCCAUCCAAUUCAUCCACUACAUAAAAUUUAAGUUAAUGGAUUGAUCCAAUCCAUCCAUUUAUAAGCAUGGAUUGAUCCAAUCCAUCCAACACAUUUUAAUGAUCCAAUGGAUAUUUUUAUCUAAUUUAAAAAAAAAACAAAUAUUAAAUUAUUUUUUUCGAAAAAAAAUCAAUUCUUUUUUGAAAAAUAAAAAAUAAUUUUUUUUUGAAAAUACAAAAAAUAAUUUUUUCCAAAAAUUUAAAAAUCAGUUUUUUUGAAAAAUACCAAAAUUUGAUUUUAUUUUCGAAAAAAAUAGCUUUUUACGAAUAUAAAAAAGUUAUUUUUUUUCGAAAAAAAAAAAAACGAUUUUUAAAUUAUUUUUUUUGAAAAUACAAAAAUAUAUUUUUUUUUGAAAAAAAACUGAUAUUGUUUUAUUAAAAAAAAAUAAAAAACUUUUAAAAAAAAUGGAUGGAUGGAUAUCCAUCCACUAAAAAUAUGGUAAUGGAUGGAUUGGAUGGAUUUUAUUCUUAAUGGAUGGAUUGGAUUGGAAAUUUUUUUAAAAAAAUUAGUGGAUUGUUAAUGGACUAAUGGAUUGUUUAGAUCCAUCAAUUAACUAUCAAAUCCAUAUCCAUCCAAUCCACCCAUUUUGCUGCCCCUAGUAUUUUUGUCCCCUCUGUCCAAUAAAAGAAUGAUUUUAAUUGCCCUACAAUCAAGCGUAAAGGGGGGAUGAAUUGGCUAAACACAAGAACUUUUUCAUUAAAAGCAACACAAAGAUGAACAAACUCCACCAAAAAUUUGGUUUUGCCGCCGACUUAUGGAUCCAAUCUCAAAUUUUCAAGUCGUUCCUUGUUGACAACAUAUUCUUCUUCUUCCAAAAGUUUGCAUUUGAGGAAUAGAGACGGAUGGAUCGAUGCCAAUAUCACCUUAUGCUCUAAGUUCAAUAUGCCCUGACAACUUUGAAUGCUCUCAAGAAUUUUCUUCUGAAAACUGUCCGGCUUCACACAUGAGGUGAGACAUAUUUGAUCUCAGUGACAACCCAACCACACCGCCUACAAUAUACACCAAUCUCUUCGUCGAGACAAAUGUCAUGUUCAUAGUCAGAGGAUGAACUUCCCGUCUUUUCCUGCGCAACUCCAUUUGCCCCUAAAUUUCCAAUCUGCAGAUAGUAACACAUGAAGUUAGUCAUUUCUACUUAUUUUUCCUUGCAAAUCUUAUCUUAUAGAUACAAACAAUUUAAAUUAAAAAUCAAAAUCAGCUUAAGCACUAGUCUUAUAGUUCAAAAUAAAAAUAAAAAUACAAAGUAUAAAUUUAAAUGUUUUUAAAGAGGCUGAUUACCAUGCAUUGAGCUUCUACUUCUCUAAGGGUUGUAUCUAUUAGAAUUAAUUCAUUUUUAGAAAUUUGUUGACAAAGUUUAUUAAAUGGUAUUUUAGUAUUUUGUUUAAGUCUCACUUGUAUUUAAGCAAAUGAGUGGUGUGAGCAUUAUUCAUUCUUUUGCAGUGUGUGAACAAUCUUUUGUAACCAUUUAAGAGUAGUGGAAGUUUGUUAUUAUUCUCUCUUUUCUCUCUUAUUUUCAUUGUUCAUAUUUAUCACCUUCUGCACAAACAAUUGGUAUCUAGAACUUCGAUUCAGAUCCACAUGGAAACACAAGUGAAACGGUGAGGUGUUGUGUGAUUGAUUUAUGUUCAGAGAAUUCGUGUUGAAUUUCGGAUCAGAAUCGUAACAGAAUCACAUAUCUUGAUUCUGUGGGAUUCCGAAAUAUUGUCUUUAGGUGAGAUCCGAGUGUAUUGCACAAGGUUGAAGAUGAACAAAAAUAAUCUGAGCACCAAGCUUCUAGUGUCCGAUGACAAGAACUAGAAUCGUCGGAUGAUUCAAAUGUGUAUGUUAUUUAGAGCGUAAGAUGUUCUUGAUCUCAUCAAUGACGGUUACGUUCAGGUUGCACUUCUAGAAAAUGCAACAGAUGCACAGAGAAAUGCUCAGCGUGAUCUAAGGAAGAAGGAUCAGAAGGCUUUGUUCUACAUCCAUCAAUGUGUGGAUGUGAACGUGUUUGAGAAAAUCGUUGAUUCGACGAUGGUGAAAGUAGCGUAGGACACACUGGUAUGGUGCUACGAAGGUGAUGCAUUAGUGAAGAAGGUGAAGUUUUAGUCUCUAUGUAAGCAAUAUGAGAAUCUCAGCAUGAAAAAUAAUUAGAAGGUACCUGACUACAUCUCCAGAGUGAUUCUGAUCAUAAAUAAGAUGAAGUCGUGUGGAGAAACUCUCUCUGAAGAAAGUAUCAUUGAGAAGGUACAGAGAUCUCUUACUCCUCAGUUUGGUUACAUUGUUGUAGCAAUUGAACAUUCUAAGGAUCUGAGCACCAUGAGAAUAGAAGAGUUGUAAAGCAGUAUAGAGGUGCAAGAGUUGUGUAUGACUGAAAGAACCUCUAAGAGAGAGGUAAAGUAGUCUUAGAAAGCUUCUUUUGUCAAGAGAGACCAGAAGCAGUCUUGGUCAGAAGCCAAGAAAAGACAUGAUAGGUUUCAGAAGUCAGAAACCUCAACUUUUGGGAGUCAUAAGGGAAAUGAGAAGUAUGACAAGAGAAAAGUUCAAUGUUAUUGUUGUAAGAAGUUUGGCCAUUUCGCUGCAGAUUGUUGGUCAAACAAGGAGAGGAAAUCGGAAGAAGCGAAUACAGUCAGAAGUUCUGAUGAUGAACAUGUGCUAUUAAUGGCUUCUGAUUCUUAUAGUGUGUCUCUAGAAGACUGGUGGUAUAUGGACAUUGGUUGUUCAAACCAUCUUAUUAGAAAUGAGAAAUGGCUGGUUGAUUUUGACUUUGGGAAGAGGACCAAGAUCGUAUGUGAUGAUUAUAAGUAUCUGCAUGCUGAAGGAAUGGAGAAUGUUAUAGUGAUUCUGAAUAAUGGCAAGUCUACAUUAAUUCAGAAUGUAUGGUAUGUUCUUGGCAUGAAGAGCAAUCUGAUGAGUGUGGGUCAAUUGAUCGAGAAUGGAUUCUCAGUUACCAUGAAGGAUAAUCUUUUGAAGUUGUAUGAUUGUAAUCAGAAGCUCAUUAUGGAGUCAAAAUUGGGAAGGAAUAGAACAUUCAAGGUGAAUGUUAAAACUCUAGACUCUGAAUGCCUUAGCGCAACAAGUGUUAUGAAAGAAAGUGAGUUGUGGCACAAAAGAUUUGGGCAUUUGAACUUCAGAAGCUUAGGGCAUCUGAAUUCAAAGAAAUUUAUACGUGGAAUUCUAACAUUAAGAAACCAGAAAAUUCAUGUAAUGUGUGCAUGAGAGGGAAGCAACCAAGAUUGAAAUUUGCAUCAGAAGUAGCUGCAAGAGCAAAACAUGCUUUAGGAGUAGUGCAUUUUGAUGUGUGUGGACCAUUUUCAAAACCUUUACUAUGAGGGAAUAAAUACUUUGUCUCAUUUGUGGAUGAGUUCACAAGGAUGGCAUGGGUAUCCCUUAUAAAGUUCAAACACAGGGUGUUUGUUAAAUUUAAGAAAUUCAGAAUCAAGGCUGAGAAACAGAGUGGUCAUACUUUAAAGAUUCUCAAAAUUGAUGGUGGAGGUGAGUAUAACUCUACAUAGUUCAAGAAGUUCUGUGAAGAGAAUGGAAUUGAGCAUGAAGUGACUGCUCCACAUACUCCUCAACACAAUGGUCUUGCUGAAAGGAGAAACCGAACUUUACUUGAUAAGUUAGAGCCUGAAAAUGAUUUUGAUAGUGAGUCAAAUUUAGAAGGCAAGAUUGAUUAUGAGGAAGAAUCUGAUCCAUAUUCAGAUGGUGAUUCAGUUUUUGGUGAUCCAAAUUCCGAUGGUGAUUCAGACUCUGGUGGUAGUCCAGAUUUUGGGAAUAUUCCAAAUUUUGAAGGUGGCCAUGCUUCUGAAGUUGGUACUUAUGGAGUUCCAACAUCUGAUAUUGUUCCAAAAUCAGAAGGUUCUGAACAAGUUCAAAGGCCACAACAAAUCAGAAACAUUCCGAGAAGGUUUGUAGAGUUUGACAUGUUACAAGAUACUGAAGUAGAUUCUGAAGGGGAAGUUAUUCAGUGUGCCAUGUUAGUAGACUCUAAACCUGUGCGUGCGGAAGAAUCUCUCAAGAAGAAAGUAUGGAUAAAGGCCAUGAAAUAAAAACUUGAUUCCAUAAAGAGAAACAAGACUCGGAAGCUGAUAGAACUUCCAAAGAACAAGAAAUCCAUCAGCGUGAGAUGGGUUUAUAAGGUGAAGCUAAAGCUAGAUGGAUCAAUUGGAAAACACAAAGCAAGGUUAGUUGUGAGAGGUUUUUUGCAGAAACUUGGGUUAGAUUACUUUAAAGUGUUCGUGCCUGUAGCAAGACAUGAAACAAUCAGGCUGGUGAUUGCGAUAGCUGCUAACAGGAAUUGGCCUCUGAUGCAUUUAGAUGUGAAAUAUGCAUUUUUGAAUGGUCCAUUAGAAUAAGAGGCUUAUGUGUCACAACCUCCUGGAUUUCAAAAAACGAAUCAGGAAAGGAUGGUGUACACAUUACACAAAGCUUUGUAUGGACUGAAGCAAGUCCCUAGAGCUUGGAAUCUGAAAAUGAUUCACUUUUCAAGAAGCAGUGAUUCCAAAAAUGUGAGAUGGAGUAUGGUGUCUAUGCUCAACAUAAUUCAUAAGGAAAUAUGAUUUUGGGGUGUCAGUAUGUUAAUGAUAUAUUGCUAAUAGGAAGUUGUGAACAUGAGAUAGCUAAGUUCAAGAAGGGGCUAAUGAAUGAGUUUGAGAUGACUGAUCUAGGAAAUAUGGUUUAUUUUCUAGGAAUGGAGAUUAUGUACUCUGAGAAAGGCAUAAUUGUACAUUAGCUGAAAUAUGAACUUAAGCUUCUGAAGAGGUUUGAGUUGUUGAAUUGUAAAAUUAAUGUCACACCUGCUGAUACAAAUCAGAAAUUGGAUUCUGAUUCUGAUUCUGAUGGUGACGAUGUAGAUGCAACAAUGAUCAAGCAGUUGGUAGGGUCUCUGAGGUAUUUGUGUAAUACCAUACCUUAUAUUUGGUAUGCAGUUGGAAUGGUGAGUAGGUUUAGGAUUAAACCGAAGUGGUCUCAUUACCAAGUUGUUCUUAAAAAUUUGAGGUAUAUAAAGGGACCUCUAAAGUAUGGAGUUUUAUUCCCUUCUGAUGCUGAAACUGACUUAGAACUUCUUAGUUACUCAGAUUCUGAUUGGUGUGGAGACAGAGUUGACAGAAGAAGUAUUUUUGGGUACUUGUUUAAGUUUAUGGGAAGUCUUAUUUCUGGGUGUUUCAAGAAGCAACCAGUUGUUGCUCUGUCAACCUGUGAAACAUAAUAUAUUGCAGGUGUUGUGACUGCAUGUCAAGCUGUGUGGCUUCUGAAUUUACUACAGGAUCUGAAGAUCAAAGUAAACAAGCAUCUAAAGUUGAUGAUUGAUAACAAGUCUGCAAUUAAUCUUGCCAAGAACCCAGUUCCUCAUGGGAGAAGCAAGCAUAUUGAGACUAACUAUCCCUUUCUGAGAAAUCGGGUUCAUAAUGGAGUGCUAGAAAUUAUGCAAUGUAGCACCUAGAAGCAACUGGUAGAUGUUCUGACAAAGGCAAUCAAGACUGAUCAGUUUCUCCAUUUGAAGGAUGGAAUUGGUGUUGUUAGUUUUAAUUAAUCUGAAUAUGAAUUAAGGGAUGGUAUUAGAAUUAAUUUAUUUUCAGAAACUUGUUGACAAAGUUUGUUAUAGGGUAUUUUAGUAUUUUCUUUAAGUCCCACUUGUAUUUAAGCAAGUGAGCGGUGUGAGCAUUAUUCAUUCCUUUUAUUGUGUGUGUGUGUGUGUGUGUGUGUGUGUACAACCUUUUGUAACCAUUUUAAGAGUUGUGGAAGUUUGUUAUUAUUCUCUUUUCUCUCUCUUAUUUCCAUUGUUCAUUUUUAUCAUCUUGUGCACCAACAAUAUCCAUUUGAUCCCAUAACACGUCUUCCUCUUCUCGUUCUUGGUCUUUUUCAUUUUCUCCUCCUUUUUAAGGCUCCAUAUUAGUGGAGUUGUCUCAUUACAAACAUGUGGUGGGCGUGUAUCAUGUCGAAUAACAUAUUUUAUCUCCAACACAGGUGAAUCAUUCUGAAUUUUAUUAUUCUUGUUUCCUCAAUAGUAUUCAACAAGGAGCUCGACUAAUCGCAACCCCUUCGGCAUAAAAGGUGUGUUUUCCCCCUUUUAUACAAAUCAUUUUUAUCCAUAGAUUCCUUCUUCUCGCCACUAUAAUCCUUCUAUUUUGUUUGAAUAUAAGAAUCAUUUCCAUCAUCAGAUUCACCAUCACCAUCAUCAGAUUCAUCAUCAUCAUCCGAAUCUAAAAUCAAGUUUUCAGAUAUCAAACCACACCUUUCAAUUGUCAUCAUCAAAGCAUUCAUCUUUUUCAACUAACUCACCAAUUCCUCCAUUUUUCUCACUUUCUACUUCAUUUUACUCUAAAUUGUUUUUCACACAUUCUUCCAACACUUCUUCACCACCAUUUUCAACAAUUUUGUCAACCUCAAAUUUGUCCUUGUUACGCAUGCAACCAAUCCUCAUCUCCAACCUCAUCAGCAUCAGCAUCAACAUCAACACAACCCUAAAAAAUUUCUCAUCACGAAACUUCUCCCACUCUUGAUCUCCUUCCUCGUCAUUGUCAAUGCAAAUAACGUUAACUUGUUCAUGCAACACAAAAGAUUCUUCAUUUGGCUUCCUUCUUUUUUUAUAGCUCAAACCCAUAUCACUUUUUUUGGGCUUAGAUUUCGAAAUGCAAUCCCUUGUCAAAAACAAAAGAGCAAUAACAAAUGAAAAAAAAAACUUUAGGUUUGUAUGGUUAUAAUGAAUGUGUUUGUUUAUUUUAGUUGCAAAUGUAUAUGUUUCAGUGGGUAGAAUAAAAUAGGCAUCUGCGUCGUUGAUUCUUUUUUAAAAUAUUGUAUUAUACUUAUGGCGCCAAAGCAGAAGAGGAGUCGAUCCAUGACCAAGCACCAAAAUUAAAUAUAAAGUAGUUUAUGAUAUUUUCCUGUAUUGAAUUUAUAAUACCUUUUGAUUCUAAAAAUGAAAAUUUCACAUCUGAACUUGAACUGGAAGAUGAAAAGGAGCUUUCAUCUUCUUCUUUUCAAGUGAUAUAGGCUCUACGAUCUUUAACAUAUUUCUCCUUUGUCGUAUAAAAUUCACUAUCCUUUUUCUUGUGAUGUUUAUUGAGACUCGGACAUUUCGAUCUAUGGUGAUCUGAUUUUCCGUAUUCAAAGCAUGUGAUAUAUUCAUUUUUUCUCUUAUGUUUCUUCUUGUGCGGGUGUGAUUUCUUGAAAUUAAUCGGAUUUUUAUCGAAAUACUUGAGCUUAUGUUUCCUAAAAUAUUGAUUGUAGCGCUUGACGAAUAACCAUAUAUCUUCUUCUUUAGAAUAGUCUUCGUCAGAACUAUCACUAUCGUCCUUACUUUUCUUUGUCCUUGACGCCAAAGCUAUAUAGGAUAGAUCCCACAUUUUUUCUUUUGUCUUCUCUUUGUUUUUCGACUUUACUUCGCUUUUGAAGAGUCCUUUUAGUUCAUUCUCAUGUUCGGUCAGCUUUCCAAAUAUUUUAUGAUAUCUAAACUACUAAGAUCAUUUGAUUCUUUUAUGCCUAUUACCUUUGGUUGUCAUUCCCUACACAUAGAUUUCAAUAUUUUGUUAGUAUAAUCUUUGUUAGAAAAGGUGUUUCCUAAGUUGUCUAACUUGUUGAUUAAACUGAGACAACAAUUCUGCACAAAUUCCACGAAUUCUCCGGGUUCCAUAUGAAAAAUAUCAUACUCCUCUGUCAAUAUAUUGAUUUUAGAAUUUAACGUCUUUAGUUCCUUCGUAAAUGAUUUGAAGAGAAUUCCACAUAUUUUGUGCACUCUUAUGAUGUGAGACAGAGUAAUAUACUUUAUCCCUUAACACGAAGAUAAGUAUAUUCGUCACCUUCAAAUCAUAUGAAGCCUUUUUAUUUCAUCAUCGGUCCAAUCUUUUGGGAGUUUAACAACAUUAUCGACCUCGUUUUUAAAUAUAUAUUUUAAUAUUAAAAAAGAGAUUUAACCUUUUAGCCACUACGCCAAAAACUAGAAUAGACAGCGCACCUUAGAGGGCGCUUUAUUACAAAAGCGCACUCUAAAGUGAAGCGAAAAAAUAAGGAGCGAACAACUGGAAUAGACAUCGCACUUUAGAGGACGCUUUUGUAAUAAAGCGCCCUCUAAGGUGAAGCGAAAAAAUAAGGAGGUGAUAGAGGGACAACAAUACAGGGCACUUUUUAGAAAGCGCCCUCUAAGGUUACCCUUAGAGGGCGCUUUUAAAAAAGCGCUCUAUAAGUCCAUGUGCAUUUCCAGUUUAUAAAGCGCUUUUGGAAAGCCCUUACAGAGAGCGCUUUCAUAAGCGCGCCCUCUUAGCCCCCUUUAGAGGGCGCUUUUUUUCCACAAGGCGCCCUCUAAGGUCCCCUUUAGUAACAUUAAAAUUAAUAACAUAACUGCGCGUUUUGUAUUUCACUCUCUGUUAUUUUCGUUCUUUUCACGUUAGGAAUUCUCACACCUACAUGUUGCUAACUGUCUAAGGCGUUCUCCGUCCAACCUGUUAGGAUCGACGUCUUCUCCUUCUAUUAAUUCGUGUUAAGCGUUCGUAUUUGACACAUAGGUAUUUUCUAAUCUUCAUAUUACUGUUGUUUCUUCUUCUGAGCGUGCGCUAUGUUCAUGUUUUGUUUCAUUUUUCUUGGUUCAUCACAUUUAUUGAGUAUUCUCAACAAUAAUAUCGUGUUUGCAAUGCCUAGCAAUGGCUGACUAGCAAUUAUGGGUAAUAAGAGAUUAAUGCAAAAUCUCCUAUUUGGCAGGUUUUCUUUCAUCUGCCAAUGGUUUGAGUCUUUUGGUUGUUUCAAUAUCAAUUUCCUAACUUGAAGGUCAUCAAUAAUUUUUUUUGUUUGUUAUAUUUUUUAAACAUUUUUUUUUUGUUUAUUUUUAUAUAUACAUAAUCAUUUAACUAAUUACGCAUGCUUCAUGGCAGUAAAUGUUCAGCCAAUUUGUAACACAGGAGGAGUCUAGAUUCACCAGGAUUAUCUAUCGUAAAUUCUUCCUUUAUUAUAUGGUUUUUUAUAUGGAUAAUAUAUUUUUGUUGAAUAUGCUCUCAGGAAUAUAUAUCACCAAAUUCUGAUUAUAUCGACAUUGAGCUCGUAAUCGGUGGCUGGAGUGUGGUGUGUAAAUACAACUUACUUACACAAAUGAUGGUUUCUAUGUUUGUUCCUAACUUCAUUAUUAUAAACUUCAAUUCUUUCAGUCAUGUUAUUUGCAUUCUCUCUGGUAUUAGGAGCCAUGCCAUGGAUUAUAAUGCUGAGGUACAACUUUUCUUCAAUAAUAAUCAUGCAUGACAAUCAUAUAUGAACAAACCUUUGUUGUAAUAUAAGUGAUACGUUGAUGUGUUGAAAUAUAUUUACAUAAUAGAUUUUUCGAUUACAUCAAAAGCCUACUGGAAGUUUUGCAACACUUGCCAAUUGGUUCUUUUCCUGGUUGGUUCACAUUAACAACAAAUUUGCUCUUGGAUUGGAGUUCGGGAGGUUUGUGUGCAUACCUAUGUUAAUUUUCUAUAUAUCUAUAUUUUCUAACCAGAAGUCCUAUGUUUUUAUCAGGAACCUUCACAAUAUAUACUGCAGUGUGUGUUUCCACAGUAGAAUUUGUUUGCCAUUUGGGUCCCCGAGACAAAGGGAAAAACCUUGAAGAAAUACAACAGUUUUCAGAUGAAGUUUCCUUUCGAGUAGCACUUCAGCCUAGUGUUCACUCAUGUAUUCACAUUCAUAUUUUUUUUCUGAAUCAACUCAAUUCAUUUUUUGUGCUCUUUAGUCUUGUUAAAUAUGAAAAAUACCAAAACAGUGUGAUUUUCUAAUCUAGCAGCAUACUUGCAUUUUGUUGUAAUUGAUGAUUAUAAACAAAUAAAUGAAGAGAGUGUAUUAUACUUUCAAUUAGAGUAGCAGUGGUUUCGGUUCAUGACAUUUCAAAUAGCAAAGGAUAUAUAACAAUAAGCAUAUAUCAGUAUUUGUAUUUAAUAUUAUAUAAGCAUAAAAGAACCUUUAGUUGCUCUUGUGAUUAUAACAAGCAGCUGUAUGCCAUUUUUUCUGGUUACCUCUUGUGGCUGCAACAUAACCUGAAAUGAGAAUAUGGUCACAGAGACAUGUGAUGCAUGUAAAUGUUAAAUAACCACCCACUUUAGAGGGCGCUUUCCAAAAUAAGCGCCCUCUAAACCCUUUAAAUUUCCACUUUAGAUGGCGCUUUCCAGUAAAAGCGCCCUCUAAACCCUUAAAGAUUUCCACUUUAGAGGGCGCUUUCCAGUAAAAGCGCCCUCUAAACCCUUAAAAGUUUCCACUUUAGAGGGCGCUUUCUUUAAAAAUCGCUCUCUAAAGUGGCCCUUAAAGGGCUUAAAGAGCCACUUUAGAGAGCGCUUUCACUAGGAAAAAAAUCGUUGUCUUUACCUAUGUCAGCGCCAGAUUAGAGGGCACUUUAAAGCGCUGUUAUAGGCCAAAAAAACGUCAUCUUUUCCCUUAUUUGGCGUAGUGAGCGUUCGUAGAGGUUACACAAAUCUGACGCUAAUAGCGUCGGUGUCGAAGUCGGCGCUAAAAAACUAAGGCUAAAACGCUUCUUUCGGGUAGUGUUUCUUGUCUUAGUGCACAAAUGUGAGAAUCCUCGGGAAUCGGAAGAAUACAUAUCAAUAUGUCGGAUUGGGUGUAUGUAUAAACUCGUGUCAAAAUUGUUAUCAUCAAGAUUGAGGAUGGUGAUACGGAAGUUAGUUUCAACCACUCAAACUGCUUUUAUCCCUGGUAGAUAGAUCCUAGAUAGAGUCCUGGUAGCUAAUGAUCCGAUAGAUCUUGCAAAAGAGAGAAGAUAAAAUCUAUGAUAUUGAAGGUGGACUUUGCUAAGCAUAUGACUGUGUAAAACGAUAUUUUCUGAGAAACCAUUUCAGGAGUUUAAUAAAUCAGCUCAGGGGAAGAGUUGCAAACAAGAAUCUUGACAUUAUGUGGAUGACAAAUUAAUGGUGUAUUCAGAACAAGAGGAAUGCAAUAUUAAAUUUGACAAAUAAUUUAAUAUGUAGUGAUGCGUACGUACACGGAGUAGACAUCAUGAUGACAUUAUUAAAGUCAAUAAAGUUUGGUAAACUCAUGAGCAACUUUCUUUGCAAUUUCAAUUUCAAUUUCUAAUUAUAAUAACACUUUAAGGAACUUUCCUAGAACAUCUCUUGUACCCAUUUGUUCUUAAACUAACAUAUUCAAAACUUGCCAAUAUUUCAAUUAUAAUAAUUGUUGUUCUUUUCACCAAUUCAACCCAAAGGUAUCUGAUUCUUUAACCUCUCUCAGAUUCAAAAUCUUUCUUCAAAUAUAUUCUAGACAUGCUUCGGUGGUUACAGAUGUUUCGAAUCUGCAGUGUUCAGCCAUGUCAUAUGCAGAGAAAUCAAGGAGCUGGUUUUCGAUAUUUACAUACAGGUUCUUUCAUUUUUUAUUCUGAUUAUAUUUUAUUAUUUUUUUUAUCUUUAUUAAGGCUAUUAAUAGUAUAUGAUACUAAGUAUUAAGAAUAUAAGCCACGUUUGUUUGAAAGAGAUGUUUUCUGUAGAAUUUAAUAGAGCUCUCUUAGUUUUAAUUGCGUAUAGACUUAUAUAACAUUGACCAUGUCAUUAUCAGAUUAAAAAAUAAUUAUAUUAAAACAAAACAUAAUACUCUUAAUUACUUUUCAUUCAAACUUGGAAUUAUUAGGAGUUUUAGUGAGAACAGGGUGCUUCAUAAUAAAUUUAAAAAGUGAAUUUAUUAUUAAAAAUAGUAUACAUCAAGUCAUAUUUUAAAUUGAGAACAAAAGCUGAGUUCAAUUAUAUAUUACAUAGUGGACACCACACAUUCUUAGAAAAUGUGUCAGAUUUAUUAUUCAAUAAAAAAAAGUUCAUUGCAUUUGAAGGAUCCACGUCAACGAGAAAGUAAACAACGAUCCUUCGCAACAAAUUUCUUCUUUUAAAAAUCAUUACAAUUCUUUAUUUUAUCGAGACUAUAUACAUAGAGUUGAGUAUAUGUAGACAAGGCCAUCUUUUGAGGGUCUAUAAGAUUUCCUAUAGGAUAGAGUUUCAAAUUCAUCACGAUUAAAUUGUGAAUAAAUAACGGUCUUAUAUCUAAAAUUGUCAAAGACAAAAUAAUUGAUUUUAAACUAAAUGGUCAUGGUAAGUUUCGAACUUUGAAAAAUCAGAUAAAAUGUUUGUUAUAAUACAGACUUAAAAUAAAAACCGUAAAUUUUUUUACCCUAAACAAACUUUUAUAUAAUACAAAAAUAAAAUAAAGUUUAUGAUAAUAUUUAUCAUCCGAUUUGAAGUUACUUUAAAUAUAAUCUAUUAUUUUGUCUUUUAUUAUUUUUUAAAAAUAAUCUAACAUGUAUUUAAAUUGGAUUAAUUACUAUACACCGUUAGUGUAAAAAGAUUUACACGAUCGAUUCAUCACCAUCACUCGUUUGCAUUAUUUUAUAGGUUUUCAAAAUAAAAGUCAAAUUUAUUUUAAUAUCCAACGUCUAAGAUUAAAUAACUGUGUAAAAUCCUUUUACACUGUCAGUAUAUUUUAAUUAGAUCCUUUUUAAAUACAUAUAAAUUUAAAUUAAUCAAAAUAAUAUUUAAAUACCAUAUAUAACACAAGUUAAUAGAAUAUACUAUAUAUUUUUCUUUAAAAUAAAGCUUUAAAUAAUAAAAUAUUAAUUUGUUUUCAUUAAUAUAUGGUAAUGGAGAUAAAAAAUUAAAUAUAAUAUAAAAAUCAAAUAUAAAGAAGUGUGAUGACUUAAUUGCUGUUUUUGAAUAAAAUAACAUAAACAAUAUAAACAUCACUAAGAUUCUUAGAUUUUUUAAUUAUACCAGUCAAAUAACUACUUCUGCCUUAUCGAGACUAGGCUGAAUGGAUAUUGAACAUUUUAAUGUUAAAGUGUAAUUCAAAUUCACAUUAGUUGUAUUUAAAGUUUAUUUGAGUUUCAUUUCAUUUGGUUCUGAUUGUAUAAAUACUGAACAUAGUUUUCAGUUUGUAAGUGACUCUGAUCCAUAACUAGUUUUCAAUUAUGUUAAUUACAUAUUUGUUUUUCUCUCUUUUCAUUUUCAUCGUCUUCAUCUUAUACUUUGUGCUUCAAGAAUUGGUAUCUAGAACUCUAAUUCAGAUUCAUAACGGAAAACAUGGGUGUACGUGAGGCGUGUGUAAUUAAUUUCAUUUAUGAAAUUCAAAGUGAAUUGAAGUUGGAAACUGAAACAAGAUCACAUUUCUGCAUUCUAAGGGAUUGAGAAACACGAGUGUUGGUGAAUUUUUGAGUGAAUUUGCACAAGAACGAAGAUGAAUGAUUGAAACGGUAGUUUGAACAAAAAACUUCCAAUCUUUGAUGGAAAUAAUUAGAAUUGAUGGAUGAUUCAGAUGUGUGUGUUGUUUGGCGCUCAAGAUGUUCUUGAUCUCGUCAAUGAUGUGUAUGUAGCUGUUGUAGCAGAUGCAACUGAAGCACAAAGAAAUACACAUUUAAAGAUAAGGAAGAAGGAUCAGAAGGCUUUGUUCUAUAUCCAUCAAUGUGUGGAUCUGAAUGUGAUUGAGAAGACCGUUGAUUCAACAAAAGUGAAGGUUGUAUGAGACACACUGGUACGUUGUUAUGAAGGUGAUGCCUUAGUGAAGAAGGAGAAGCUUUAGUCUCUAUGUAAGUAGUAUGAGAACCUCAACAUGAAGAACAAUGAGAAUGUACCUGAUUACAUCUCCAAAGUGAUUCUUAUCACAAAUGAGAUGAAAUCUUGUGGAGAGACUCUUUCUUAACAAGUAAUCAUUGAAAUGGUAUUGAGAUCACUUACUCCUCAACUUGAUUACAUUGUUGUAACAAUUGAACACUCUAAGAACCUUAGCACCAUGAGAAUUGAAAAGCUGCAAAACAGUUUAGAGGCACAAGAGUUGCGUCUGACAGAGAGAAAAUCUGAAAGAGAGGUAGAACAGACUCUGAAAGCAUUUUCUAGUAAUAAGAAUAAGAAGCAAUCUUGGUUAGAGUCCAAGAAGAGACAUGGGGGUGGUUAUCAGAAGUCAGAAGUUUUCAACUCUGAUGAGAAAAGUUAUCAAAGGGAAAGGAGAAAUUUGACCAAAAGAAGGUUCAAUGAUAAUGUUGUAAGAAGUUUGACCAUUUUACUGCUGACUAUUGGUCAAACAAGGAAAGGAAAUCAGAAGAAGCAAACAUAGUUAUAUGAGAUUCUGAUGAUAAACAUGUGCUAUUGGUGGCUUCUGAAUCUGAUGGUGAAUAUUUGGUAGACUGGUGGUAUAUGAACAUUGGCUUAUGAAAUCACUUAAUUGGAAAUAAGCAAUGCCUGAUUAAUUUUGACUCUAAAAGAGGACAAAAAUUAGAUGUUUUAAUCAUAAGUAUCUGAAUGCUGAAGGAAUGGGAAAUGUCAAGGUCAGAGUGAAUAAUGGAAAAACUGUUAUGAUCAAUGAUGUUUGGCAUCUUCCUGGUAUGAAGAGCAAUUUGGUGAGUGCAUGUCAGCUAAUUAAGGAAGGUUUCUCAGUUACUAUGAAAGACAAUCUCAUGAAGUUGUAUGAUUCGGAUCAGAAGCUGAUUAUGCAAUCUCAAUAGGGAAGUAACAGAACAUUCAAGGUGAAUGUUGAAAAGGAUGAAACUAAAUGCCUUAGUGCAGAAGGUGACAGUGAGUUGUGGUACAAGAGAUUGGGGCAUCUAGACUUCAGAAGCUUAAGGCAUUUGAGUUCUAAGAAGCUAGUACAUGGCAUUCCUAAGAUUGUGACGCUUGAGAAGUCAUGUGAGAUAUGCAUGAAAGACAAGCAACCUAGAUUUCCAUUUGCAUCAGAAGUGGCUCUAAGAGCAAAAUAUGCUUUUGGAGUAGUGUAUUCUUAUGUGUGUGAACCAUUUAAAGUACCUUCACUUGGAGGAACACAAGUACUUUGUGUCAUUUGUGGAUGAGUUCACAUCAAUGACAUGGCUAACACUCAUCAAGUUUAAGAAUGAGAUGUUUGCUGAGUUUCAGAAGUUUAAGGUGAAGGAUGAAAAACAAAGUGGUUAGAAGCUAAAAAUUCUCAAAACUGACGGCGGAGGUGAGUACAACUCUACAAAGUUCAAGAAAUAUUGUAAGGAGAAUGGAUUUGAGCAUGAAGUUACUAUUUCAUACACUCCUCAACACAAUGCUCUUACUGAAAAAAGAAACAAAACUUUGCUUGAUAUGACAAGGAGCAUGCUGAAGGAGAAGAAGCUUCAUCACACCUUGUGAGGAGAAGUUGUUGCCAUUGCAGCAUAUGUGCUAAACAGUUGUCCAAUCAAGAAUCUGAAUAAAAAAUUUCUUUUUUAGAAGUGGACUAGAGAUAAGCAAAGUGUGAGCCAUCUGAAAGUGUUUGGUUCUAUUUGUUAUAAACAUGUACCAAAUGCUAAAAGAAGGAAGUUGGAUGACUGAAACAGAGCUAUAUUGCUUAUAGAAUACCACAAUACAUGUGCUUACAAGCUCUACUAUCCUAUCACUAAUAAAGUUGAAUUCAACAGAGAUGUCAUUAUGAAAUAAUCAGAAGCGUGGGAUUGGAACAAGCCUCAAUCCAACUCUGGCGCAGUGUUAACACCUAAGUUAACUUCUGAAGAUAUUUCAGGCUCUGAAGGAGAAUCUGCCUCUGAAGGAGAUUCUGAGUCUGAAGAUGAGUCAGUGUCUAAAGGUGACUCUGAUGUUGAAGAAGAGUCUGAAGGCGAGCUUGACUCUAAAUGUGAAUCUGAUUUUGAUCCAUAUUUUGAUGAUGAUCCAGACUCUAGUGGUAAUCUUGCAGCUGAAGGUAGCCCAACCUCUAUAGUUAGUACAUCAUCUGAUAAUGUUCCAGUGUCUGAAGAAUAUUUUGAACAAGUUCAUAGAUCACAAAGAAUUAGACAAGUACAAGGAAGAUUUGCAGAGUUUGACAUGUUGGAAGAUAUUGAGAUAAACUCUAAAGAGGAAGUCAUUUAGCGUGUCAUGUUGGUAGACUCUGAACUAGUAAGCACCGAAGAAGCUCUCAAGUUGAAGGUCGUGAAAGAAGAACUUGAGGCUAUAGAAAGAAAUAAGACUUUGAAGUUGAUUGAGCUUCCAAAGAACAAGAAAGUCAUCGGUGUAAGAUGGGUUUAUAAGUUGAAACUGAAGCCAGAUGGAUCAAUGGGUAAACACAAAUCAACGUUAGUAGCUAGAGGAGUUUUACAUAAAUCUAGAUUAGAAUAUGUUAAGGUGUUUGCUCUUGUAGAUAGAUAUAAAACAAUUAAACUGGUGAUUGCUAUAGCUGCUAAUAGAAAUUGGCUCAUUGAGAUAUCUCUAUAAUACCAGGCUUGGCAUCUGUUAUGCAGUUGGAAUGGUGAGUAGGUUUAUGAAAACCUCAAAGUGGCCACAUUACCAAGCUGUUGUCAGGAUACUGAGGUACAUUAAAGGGACUCUGAAGUAUGGAGUUGUGUUCCCUUCUAGUGCAGAAUCUGAUUCAGAGCUAAUAUGCUAUUCAGACUCCGAUUGGUCAGAGUUGACAAAAGAAGUAAUUAUGGGUAUUUCAUCCAAUAUUUGGGAGGUCCCAUUUCUUGGUGCUCCAUGAAGCAAUCAAUGGUUGCAUUGUCAACAUGUGAACCUGAGGACAUUGUAGGUGCUUUGUCUACUUGUCAAGCUGUUUAGAUUCUGAACCUAUUGCAGGAUUUGAAGAUUAAGGUGAGCAAAUAUGUGAAGUUGAUGAUUGACAAAAAAUUAACUAUAAGUCUUGUCAAGAAUCCAAUAUUGCAUGGAAGGAGCAAGCACGUUGACACAAAGUUUUACUUUUUGAAAAAUCAAGUUCAUAGUGAAGUGAUUGAAGUUACUCACUGUAGCACUUAGAAGUAGCUGGAAAAUGUUUUGACCAAACUAAUCAAGAUUGAACACUUUAUCAAUUUGAGAGAUGAAAUUGGUGUUGUUGAUUUUAGUCUUGAAUGUGGAUUAAGGGAUGGUGCUAAAAUGUAAUCCAAAUUCACAUUAGUUGCAUUUAGAGUUUAUUUGAGUUUCAUUUCAUUUGGUUAUGUUAGUUUUCUGUUUGUAAGUGACUCUGAUCCAUAACUAUUUUUCAAUUCUGGGAGUUACAAAUUUGUUUUUCUUUCUCCCGUCUUCAUCUUCAACCUUGUGCUCCAACAUUUAGAACCUUGUGCUCCAACAUUUAGAAUAUAGAGGAAAAAAACCCUUAUAAAAUUCAAUUUUAAGUCUAAAUUCUAUAUUUUAUCAAUCUUUUCGGAUUAGUCCAUUUUAGCGACUUUAUGAAUUUGAGCUUCAUAGACCAUGUGACUAUUUAACAUGGGUUUAUAUUACUUCUAAAAAUUCAUUUUAAAUUCAAUUAAAAUUAUUUGUAACAUUAAUUAAUUUUUCCCAUUUAACUUUUUUACCCAAAACUUACCAUACAUAUGUUUUUAAUUUAAUACUAUCAAUAAUAAUAAUAUUUUAUUAACUUUAAAAAAAAUUGACUUUGUAUACCCACCUCCACACAUGAUUCCUAUAAAACUAACCAUAAGUCCUCUUAAUUUACAUACAGCGAAAAUGGAUUUAAGAGAAAACCAAAUUGUGGAAAACCAGCAUCAUCCAGUUAUGUACCAAAACGUCGUCGUAAUGAGGCACAGCGAACGCAUCGAUAACGUCGAGCCAUUAUGGAUAUCCACAGCCACGCGACCGUGGGAUCCGCCACUGACUCAACCGGGUCGAGUUCUAGCAUUCAAAACGGGUCAAGGUAUCCGAAAGAACCUCGGAUUCCCGAUUCAUCAACUGUUUGUCUCCCCUUUUCUACGUUGCGUCCAAACUGCUGCAGAAAUUGUCAUCGCUCUCUCCGCCGUUGACGAUGCCGGUGGAAGUGUCAGCCGUGACGACAUUUCUUCUGAUCCUUCAAAAGUCAAGGUUAGAAUUUGUUUGGCUUUUUACUUUUUGUUAAAUUAUAUGUGUCAUAAAUGAAUGGUUUUCAAAAUUGCAGGUAUCUAUUGAGAAUGGAUUAUGUGAAAUGCUAAACACAAUAGCUAUUCGGAUCAACGUUGCUCCAAAAGAUGGGAAUUUCAGUUUUGAUAUUCCACAGCUUGAAACCAUGUUCCCAAAUGGAACUGUGGAUACUAAUCAUGUAGUUAUGGUGCAUAAAGAGGUAUAUCUCUGAAUUUGAUUUUCAUCUUAAUUUUAUUAUUAUUUACUUCCUCUAAGAUUAGUCUAUAUAGUUGUGCAAGUAUUAAAACAUAUUUAAUAGAGCUGAUGAAAUCUUAUUUUUUUUUAUAAACCUCAGCUACCUAAAUGGGAAGAAUCAGUUUCGGAAGCAAAUGUUAGAUAUCAAGAAACAAUUACAAAUCUUGCAGAUAAAUAUCCUACUGAAAACUUGUUGCUUGUUACACAUGGUAAAAAAUAACUCUAUUCUGAUCCAUUUAACAUUGUAUUUAGUUGGUGGUUUUUUUUAAUUGAGUUGAAGUUUUGCAGGGGAAGGGACUCAAGUGGCUCUUUCUUCAUACACAAAAGAUGUUGUGGAACAUAAAGUGAAAUAUUGUGGCUAUGUACAACUUAGACGUCCUAUAUUUAAAAGUGAUGAUUCUUUUAUUGGUGGAAAGUUCAAUUUACUAACUCAUAUUGGUCAAAAUGGGGUAAACUAUAUUUCUUCACAAGAACUCUGAGUAAGGAUAUAAACUAAACUUCAAAACUCUUCAUGAUGUUGGACUAGAAAUGCUUUUGAGGUAGUUUUUAUAUUUCAAUUUGUUUGUUCCAUCCAGUUGAUUACGAUGAUGUUGUGAUUUGUACUCUAUUAGUUAAGAUUCUUUUCUCAUUGGAUAAUAAAAAGUUAGCAAAGAUGUAGGAGUUGAACUAGGGUAAACAUACUUACCGUACUUACCGCUGUUGGACAUUAAAUAUUUUUAUAGAGAUUUGUUAUGAUUAUUGAUUCUUUUUUAUCUUUUUGAUUAGCGAAACGAAAUGAUUGUUGAUAGAAGAAUUUUGAUUUUUUUUUAAAACUUUGCUAGUAUAAAAUAAGUUUGAAUGAGUGAAUCACCUAUCUUUUUUGAUGGAUUCAUUGAAAAGAUUCAUUAAGAAUGUCUACUUAAAAAAUUCAAGAUAAUCAAAACUAUUUUUAAGUUUUAGUUCAAUUGUUUAAUCUUUGUAUAUUGUAUAUAAACCUCAUCGUUUGAGUUUUAACAAAUGAUUAGAAUUUGGAUUUAUAAGAAAUUUAUCAUUAAAUAUAUCUCAUAGGUCUAGGACUACAGAAAUUAAUCAAGCAUUGAAAAGAAUAUUCGGGUGAAGAUUAUCCUACCUACUUAGAUUGGUUGAAUUUUAUUUUAGAUAUUAGGAUCAACAAAUUUUUGGACAAAAAUAAUCGAGUGAGAGUUAUCCUAUCUAUUAUGUUUGGUUUUCUUUUACUUCAUUUAUUUCAUUUUCCCGGUCAAGAGACAUAUAAAAUAUCAAAAGAUUGAUAUUUUUGUAAUGGUAAAUUUCUUUAUCAUGGUUUAAUAUCAUUUUUCAUUCUCUAUCUUGUAUUUGAGGUUUAUUUUGAUUUCAUAACUUUAAAAAAUUAUUUAGAUCUAUUAUAUUUUAGUGAUUGAUUUAAAAUACAAAAAUCAAUUACUAAACUAUUUGUGAUUUUAUACCGAAUUGUAUAUAAGUAGAAAGAAAGUUUGCGCAUAUUUCGUUUUUUUAAACUAAUCAAAAUUUGUAUUUCAAUUAUUUUCUGGGUCCAAUUUAUAAAAAUAAAUAUUUAUUUUUAGAUUUAUUAAGUAAACAAUAUAUUUGAAUAAAAUAUAAAGAUAAUAUAUUAAUUAUUAAAUGAAUUUAAAAAAUAAUGUUUUUAUAAAUAAGCCUAGAGAUAAUAUUAAUGGAAUAAAGUACAACAGAUGAGUAGAUGCAUUUUAUGAUAGAUUAAUUUGACAUGAGUCACACAACCAUCAAAACCCUCUCAAAAGAUAGAUGAAAAACAUGUCAAUCAAUAGAAUGUAAACCUAUUAAGGUUCCUUCUCAUGAGGUGGUCAAAGCAGUAAAUAGCACUCUUCUUUCUAUUAAAAAUGACAUGACAAAUUGCAACGAUCAGUGCAUAAUAGUGAAGCCAUUUGACAUCUUUGCCUCGUCAUAAAAAAUAAACCAUCUUAAUAAAAGUAGUAAAGUAGGUCAGUUAUAAAAACAAUUUAAAAGCGCAGAACACACCCUUUACCAUCACAAUAGUACUAAUGUGGAUUUUUUUUUUUAAAUAACCAUGUUUUUCAAAAAUAAUACGAAAAUAACCAACUUUUCAAAAUAACCAUGUUUCCCCAAAAAUAUAAGAGGAGGCGCCAGAUGCAUUGGCGCACAUGCACUGGGCCUCAUGAAGAGGCGCCAAUGCUUGUGGCGCCUGCAUGGCCCUCCAAAGGGAGGCGCCAAUACAGCUGGCGCCUGCAUGGCCUGUGUGAGAAGGCGCCAAUACAGCUGGCGCCUGCAUGGCAUGUGUGAGAAGGCGCCAGUGAAAGACAUUACCAUUGCACCACAGACUCUUCAUGUUAAUUUGUUUCAUCAUAUAUUUAAUGAGCCAUUGUUCAAUUGUAUUUUUUAAAUUGUAUUAAAAUAAAACACAAAAUAAUUUUAUUAAUAAAACACAAACUACAUUAUAUAUUAAUAAUCGUAUUACAAAAUAGGAGUAAUAUUUUUGGCGCCUGCAGCCACAAUUAUUUUGUAUUAAUAUAAAAAAUAUUGUUCUUUUUUCAUUUUAUUAAAUUUUAUCUCUAUUCUUUAAUUUUUAAAAAUACUAUAUAUUAGUUAUAUUAUUUUAUAUUUAUGAGCCAUUGUUCAAUUGUUUCAUCAUAUAUUUUGUGUUUUAUAUUAUAUAUUAAUGUAUUAAUAUUUCAAAUUGUAUUUAUAAUAAAUAUUAUGAAGUUUUAUUUGAAUUUUUGUGUAAAAAUUAAUAUAAAAACUUCAUAAAUUUUUUAAAUAUAAUUGAAAAAUACAAUUGAAAAUUAUAUUAUUUAAAUAUAAUAUAUAUUUUAAAUAUUAUAUUACAUUUUAUAAUAAAUAAAUAUAUUAAUACAUGUUAAGUAUAUAAAAUAAUACUUAAAUAUUUAAUUAUAUAUAUAUUAUAUAUAUAAUAUAUAUAUAUAACUAUAUAUAGUUUUAUAUAUAUAUAUAUAUAUAUAUAUAUAUUAUAUUAAUAUAUAUAUAUAUAAUAUAUAUAUAUAUAUAUAAAACUAUAUAUAAAACUAUAUAUAUAUAUAUAUAUAUAUAUUAUAAUAUAUAUAUAUAUAAACUAUAUAUAAAACUAUAUAUAUAUAAUAUAUAUUAUAUAUAUAUAUAUAUAUAAUAUAUAUAAAUAUUUUAUAUAUAGUUUUAUAUAUAUAUAUAUAUAUAAUAUAUAAUAUAUAUAUAUUUAUAUUAGUUUAUAUAUAUAUAUAUAUAUAUAUAUAUAUAUAUAUAUAUAUAUAUAUAUAUAUAUAUAUAUUAAUAUUAUAUAUAUAUAUAUAGUUUUAUAUAUAGUUUUUUUUUAUAAUAUAAUAUAUAAUAGUUUUAUAUAAAUAUAUAUAUAGUUUUAUAUAGUUUUUAUAUAGUUUUAUAUAUAUAUAUAUAUAGUUUGUGUUUUAUAAUAAAAUUAUUUUGUGUUUUAUUUUAAUACAAUUUAAAAAAUACAAUUGAACAAUGCUCAUUAAAUAUAUGAUGAAACAAAUUAACAUGAAGGGUCUGUGGUGCAAUGGUAAUGUCUUUCACUGUUGAUCCAAAGAUUGUGUGUUUGAUUCUUGUUUGUUGCAGAAAUAAAUUUUAUUUUCAAAACACACAUGCCAUGCAGGCGCCAGCUGUAUUGGCGCCUUCUCACACAUGCCAUGCAGGCGCCAGCUGUAUUGGCGCCUCCCUUUGGAGGGCCAUGCAGGGCGCCACAAGCAUUGGCGCCUCUUCAUGAGGCCCAAUGCAUCUGGCGCCUCCUCUUAUAUUUUUGGGGAAACAUGGUUAUUUUCGUAUUAUUUUUGAAAAACAUGGUUAUUUAAAAAAAAAUCACUAAUGUGAGUACAUGCCACUGAUACCUCAAAAACAUUUUUUAUGAAAUUAUAAAGUUAAUUUUUUUUUUGGAUAAAAAUAAAUGUUAUACACAUGUAGCACUUGUCACCACAAUUUUUGUCUUUACUAUUUGUAUUUGUCAAAAAUAUAAUGAGGGAUAAUCCUUAGCAAAGUGUGGAUUCUAGAGGAUUUUUAGAAUUGUUGUGAUGUCAUGGUGUUAGAACAAACUCAAAUUAAGAUGGCGAGAAACUUUAUAUAUCAGUGUUAUAUGAGUGAAUUGAAUGUCUCUCCUUAAUUUUAGGGUUGAGGUAUUUAUAGAAGUAUCUUGGACUUGAAUCUUAGCGUCUAAGUAACAACAUUUCUAUCUCUCAGAAGCGUGAGAAAUAGGUGGUUAUCUCCCUUAUUUUUCUUAAGAAUAUGUCUCUAGUCUUUGACUGCCUCUCACGUCGUUAAUGAGUGUGGACAUGUGACUCCCUACGUUUUCGUAAGUAAGUGAGUAACUCAGUUAAAAGACGACUAUUUCAAUUGAUGGGAGCUUGUUAUCAUAAACGAGUGUGCAUUGCAACCAAUGAGCGGCAAAUGACCAUGCUUUGGGUGAUGGGUGUUAUCCACUUGUCCUCGAUGAAUCUUGGGUUGUCUCCUGUAUAGACCUUGCAAAUAUACCAGUACAACGUCCCUAAAGCAUGAGGCCUUGUAAAGGGUGAACUUAUUUAGUUUCAUACCUCUAUGCAAAGUCCCAAGUUGAGUUCCCCAAACGAGACAUUAAGUUGAGUCCCUCGGGCGAGACUUUAAAUUGAGUCACUCAGACGAGACUUUAAGUCGAGUCCCUUGGGAGAGACUUUAAGUUGAGUCCCUCAGGAGAGACUUUAAGUUGAGUCCCUCAAGAGAGGCUUUAGGUAUAGUACCCUAAGCGAGACUCUAAGUUAAUGAAUUACUCCUUAUUUAACAUGGAUCUUCUCAUGGAAAUUCAGUAUUUAUAUUGUCUCUUGAUGCGGCAAGGAUCUCCUAAUGAAAAUCCAACAUUUAUAUUGACUAUGAGGGCACAAAGGAUCUUCCAACGGAAAUUCAACGUUCAUAUUGUCUAUGAGGGAGACCGAGAUCUUUUAGGGGAAGUCUAACAUUUAGAUUGCAUUUUGAGGUGGCAAGAUCCCCUAAUGAAAGUCUAACAUUUAUUUAUAUUUACUAAGGAAUGGAUUAACCUAAUGUGAAUAUGAUCAUAAUUAGUUUUUUAGGGGAUUCGUACAUUGGUUGGCCAAACGCCUUUCUCCUUAACACAAAUAAUAGGAGAACGACUAAUUGUAAUAAUAUCUCAGGUUAACUAAGUUCCAUGUCCUUGGGAUGAGUCAUUCGUUUAGCUCUUCGAACUUGUAUGGUUCAUGAGGAAGUUUAUGAUAUAUGUGGUAUGAACCCUCUCAGUUAGGUCGUAACUUCCCCUGAUGGACAGGCACGACAACUUGUUUGAGUACGAUGCCGCCUUCUUCGAAUUUUCUUGGGAGCACUUUGAGUUGUAUCUUCUGGCUGCCCAUUUUUUUGCGGCAAAAUCCUUGAUGCAGGGGUCAUCUUAGGUCUCGUCAAUCAGGUUAGUGACACACUUAAACCUUGUCUUAUUUUAUUUUUCAUUAAAUUGAGAAUGCCCCCACGUGGGUGUGUUGAUUUAGAUUGGCAGUAUUGCGUUUGUGAUGUAUACCAUCAUGAAUCAAGUCUCUUUGGUUGUUGAAUAGGGGUAAUAUGAUAUGAUCAUAAUACAUCACGAAGUUGUUCAUCCCAUAGUUCUUUGAUGUCAUCUAACUUUUUCUUUAUCCCACCAAAUAUUACUUUGUUUGGUGACUCAGCUUAUCUGUUUGCCUUUUGGUGGACAACUGAAAUAAAAUUUGUAUGUACACCAAGUCGUGAUAGAAAUCGACUACAAUAGAGCUAGCGAAUUGAGUACCAUUUCUGAAAUUUUUUGAACUAGCUCUGACAUUUUACUGUAAGGCUCUUUGUCAUCAAUUUAAUGUGUAUUGACUCCUCAACCAUAUUGGUUUUCAGAGUUAUACACUUUUUAUGCCUUAUAGCGUUCAGAGUUCCCAAAAAGAUACCCUUAUGAGCUUUAGCAUCAAAUUUCUUCAGAUAAACUUUGUUGUUUAUAAUGUCACAGGUACAUCCAAACUGAUGAAAAUAAUAAAUACUUGGUUUUCUUCCCUUGCACAGCUCAUAUGAUGUCUUAUUCAGAAUAUGUCUAAUAUAGAUUCUACUGUGAACAUUUUUUAGUGAUUUUAAUUAAAAGAUGAGUGGUUUUUGAAUGUUUUAUGUAUGUGUGUAUCCGUAAUACUUUUAGAAAUACUCUUGUGUCUUUACAAUACAUUUAUCACUUAAACAUACAUGAUUACGAGAGCUUCCAUAUUCCCUCUCUUUCACACUCCGAAUCUUCAAGUUUGAGAAUCAUUAUCUUUUAUUUUAGCAUUUCAUAAUAACCUUGAUUAUUCUUGAUGAGGCUUGAGAUGUCUCCAUAUUAAAUGUCAUCAUCUGAGAUGUUGAAAGUUUAAAUCAUUUAUGAUAAAAAAAACUCUAAGUCUUCACUUGAGAGUCGUUGGACUAUAGUGUAAACUUCAAACAAAUUCAUGUAUUGAUUCAGGAUGAUAGAUUGAUCAACCAUAUUAUGAAUCUUUGAUCGCUUGAUCUAUCUUCAGUAUUUGAUUAAUUUCAAGUAUUGUCAUCAUCAAAAUCACGGUAUCGUCAAAAUUAAGCAGCUACUAAUUGACUUGUAUCUUAUUAUCCAUAAACUUUACCAUCUUGGAUCACUUGUUGACUAUACCUUCAAGUAUAUAGAUCCAAAAGUAUUCCUUGAUCAAAAAAAUUUACAACAAUGAGGUUCUAUAAGGUAAAUUUAAAAUUAUAAUUUUUGUGAUCAUUAUGGAGUGCAAUUAAUAGCCCUUACACUAAUUGACCAAAUAACAAGUUCACAAUGCAUGUUUACUACAAGCUUUACUACAAGAAACAUGCUAAAAUAAAACAUUGAAUCGCAAAAUCAUGUGUUGGUGUUGCUUCACAUGCUAGCAUUUCAUCCAUCAUGGUUCUCAUUCUUUGCAUGUUUUGUAUCAAGCCAAGAAAAUGUCAGUGUUGCUUCUGUUUCUGGAGCUGUUUUUGAAAGAAUUGCAAUGGGAACUGCUUACGGUUAUGUUGUUUCUCAUUUUGCUUCUACUUUUCUUAUUCUCUUGGCUCCACUUUUUUUUUUUCAUAUCUAUCAUUGAUUCUACUUUCGGUCUAAAGAAAAUGUUAGUAUAAAAAAUGUUACAAAUAAGUUCAUAUUUUAGAAGAAUAAAAGUUACAAAUCAAGUUCUAAAGAAACAAAAUUCAUUUGAUAAAUAUUUAUUUUUAAAGCAUGGAAUAAAAGCAAAGAACUUUAUUUUAUUUUCAAGCCCUUGUAUUAGCUCAUUUUUUUAUAAGAACUAGUGACUAGAAAAAUAUUGCCAGCCUUUUCAAACCUAUAGUAUGUUUCCUCGUGAAAAUGCCAUUUACUUUCUACCCAUGCAUGCACAAUUUUUUUAUUAUAAACCAAAUAUUUUAGUUCAACCAAGGAACGGAAACUUGAUUUCUUUGGGAGGUUGCCUCCUGCACAAUGUUAAUUUACAGAUUGUCAUGUUGUAAGAUUUCUUCAAUCCUAAAAAUCCUUUUAUCCUGAAAUUGAGAAUUUUGCUAUUGCACCAGAUUAUACAUACACUACUAGAAAAACCACAUUUAACGUCGGAUGCGAAAUGCAUUUAACAUCGGCUACAUAGGCGAGGUAAGGAAGGGUGUCAUGAAAAAUGCACACUUUACAUCUCGGUUUUAAAAUAACUGACGGGUAUAUGAAAAGGUCAUGGGUUCGAUACCCAGGGAGAUAUUUUUGGAAUUCUAUAAUGGCGAAAACACAUGUCCUCUUGGUUUUAUAGUUCCACCAAUAGAUAUACCAUAUUUUCACCUUGGUUAUCUCAUAAAACCGAUGGGUAAAACAGUUUUUGAGUUUAUUAAAUCUAAUGUGGAUUACUCAUUUCACUAAACCCUAUAUUGAACAUAUAACUUCUAAAAAUUGGUUAGGAAAAUAAUUAUAUGAAUAAUUAUGUUAUAUUUGAAGAAUAACUUACAUUGAUUAUGAUUUUGAAGCAUUAUGAAACUCAUCAUUCUUCUCACUCUAUUUUAUGGUUAAAAUCUCUCAAAUGUUUCAAGUUCUUUAUUCAACAUUUCCUUUUCUACUAAUUCAUUCUUGAAAGGAUAAAAUUUAAUAUUUUGAAAAAUGAACAAAUAUGGAAGAAAGAUGAACAGAAACUAGAAGUAUUGGAGAGAUUUUAACAAUAAAAUAACGUGAGAUGAAUGAUGAGUUACAAAAUGAUAGAAAACCAUUAAUCAAUGUAAGAUAAAUUUUAGAUACAACAUAACUUUGCAUAUGAUUAUUUCCAAAAUUAAUUUACUAGGUUAUAUGUUUAAAGAGGGGUUAGUGAAACAAGCAAUCGAUAUUAGAUAUAAUAAACUCAACUAGAUGGAACAAGAUAAGAGUUGCACAAAGAAUCACAAAAAACAUAAUCUCAAUAUCAAUAUUAACUACAAAAACAACAAGAAAACAACAACAAUAUCAAACACGACAUCAAGAACAACAACGUCAAUAAACAAUAACAAUAUCAAUAACAACAACUUCGAUAAACAACCUCUAGGAUUUAGGGUCUCAACAAGAACAACGACACCGACAAAAACAACAACAAAAACUCUAGGAUUUCAGAUCUCAACACCACCACCACCAACAACAACAACAACAAUAACAAUAACAACAAUAAUAACAACAACAAUAACAACAACAACAACAAUAACAACAACAAUAACAACAGUAUGACAAAAAUAUUAGUAGUGAUGUUUGAAGUACUAGAUCUCUGAAGAAGAGGUAAGAGAAAAUGAUUUGGAUCUCUGAAGAAUAAAAGAGAGCCUUAAAUACAUAACAUCUUUGUGUUGAAUAUGAUAUGUAUUUACGACUCUCGUUGUUCAUGGCUCUUCGUUAGGAUUCUAUUUGUGUUGUUUAGACAAAUGAAACUGAAUGCUACAAGCUAAACCUAUAUAUAUAUAUAUAUUAUAUAUAUAUAUAUAUAUAUAUAUAUAUAUAUUAUAUAUAUAUAUAUAUAUAUAUAUAUAUAUAUAUAAAUCAGAGAAACAUAUUCACCUCGGUUGGUAUGAAAAUUGAGGGGUAAAGUAGCAUACUUUUAAAUUAAAAAUAAAAUAUUCAAGAAUGUGCCACUUUUAAUGAGAUAAAAACAUAAACUUAGACUACUGGAAUUUGAAGCAUGUACGUUGAAUAUGUUUACCCAUAUGUUUUCCAAAUAAUCGACGAAAUAUAUUGUAUCUUUUUUUAAAAAAAGAUCAGGGUGCGCGUCUAGGUAUUAGACCUCGAUUUUUCAUUACGUGAGGUGAAAUCGUCGUCAUGAAAUGUAUUAUUUGUAGUAGUGAUAUUAUUCAACAUAUCGAUAGCUCAUUGCAUCCCAAUGUUAACUUGUAAUAGUUGAAGGCACAGGAGAGUUUCUUGUACAAGAACCACAUAUGGGUGUGGAGGUCUAUGCAAAGGUUCACCUUGAUGAAAUUGUUGCAUGAAUCCAAAGAGCAUAAAAGCUUGGAAUACUCCUUGACCAAUUAUCGGUUAAAUAAGAUCUUUUUACGAAGGAUUUGAUGGAGACGCUCUUAAGACUUAAUUGUCUUCUACUUGAGGAGGAGGGAGUGUAUCUUUGACAACUUCGGCAACAACGAUAGAAGCUUCCCGUUGGAAUGCGGAGUAAGUAACUUUUGAUGCCACCAUAUUUGAUGAAUCUAAAGAAGGAUAUGUAUGAAAGGAACUUAAGAUUCGAGGAAAAAUAUCAAGAAACAGAUUUGAACUUCUAAGUGGAGAGAUCUUGAUCUCGAGAACGAAGGAUAUCUUAAGGUGAAAAUAUACAAAAGUUAGAUUUCAAUUCCCAUAAACAACGUCAUUAUUCCGUUUAGGAGCAAAAAAAAAGGUGAUCGGUGAAGUAGUGCUUGCUACGGUGGACUCGAGCUCCAAUAUGGUGGAGAGGGGGAUGGCCUACAAGGUUAACACUCCAAUACCCAAGUCAGUAAAAGAACAAAAUAUGUUGUGAGAGUGAGAAUGAAUUUAAAUACCUAAGAAUGAUGUGUUUUCCUUCUUAAAUAAUAGGAACGAUUUGAAACAGAAAGUGUGGAGUGAGGUGUGGAUCGCGCCCAACCGUCUAAUUGAGCUGGAUAACUAGCAAUACUCCUAGAGGUGGAAUUACCUGCUACCCAUGAUUUAUCUUUGGGCUUUUCCGUUUUGGACCUUGUGAGGGGUCAUAACACUUACCAAGAUAUAAAAUAUAAAUUCAAUUCCCCUCUUUAUUAUGAGAAUCUAAUUUUUACAAAAAUAAUAGAUAUAAUAACCUACAUCUUUUAUCAAAGUUUACAAGUGGGUCUUAAACAAAUGAAUCACCUACUUGGUGGAUUCAUCGAUAGGACCCAUUUAAAAAGUUUUUUUUUUUUAUUUUUUUUUUUUAAGAAAACCAUCUUAAGCGAAUCAAAACUAUUUUCAUAUUUUCAUUCAAUUGUUUAAUCUUGUAUACCAACAUUUUCCUUUUAGUUCACCUUUUGAUAUGUAAUAUUGUAUUUAUUUUUAUAUAAACAUUCAUAAAAUUCAAUAAGACUAGAGUAAUAGCUCAUAACAAAUGUUUAGAAUUGUUAUAAGAAAUCUAUCCUCAGAUAUUCCUCAUAAUUUUAAUACUAUAAAAAUCUACUCAAACAUGAUCAUAAUAAAUAACGAAAUCAUAAUAGAGGACAUAAGAAAAUAAAGAAAAAAUAAAAUAGAUAAAUCGAAUAACUUUUAGAAAGGAGUAUUACAAUAAGUUUCUAAUCACAAUGCUUUUUAUAUUUUAAUUCUUUUUUAGUGAUAACCCCCUUGAAAUUACUAUCAGUUUAAGCGCAAAACCAGCCAUACAUGGGUUUUAAUUACAGAGACGGCUGAGCAUCAAACAAAAUAAUAAAAAAUAGUAGCAAAUAUAAAUGAAAUCAUACUAAAAAUACUAAAUUAUUCAUGAAAUUAAAUCUUAAAUAUAGAUAUAAAUUAGGUUUAUCAUAAUAUUUAAAAAAAAACACUUUAAAAAAGUUGAUUUUGUUUGGUUUUAUCCCUCAUCCCACUUAUUAGAACUCAAAAAGAACAUCAAUCUAAAUAAAAUCUAUUAAUUAUCAUCAUGUCAUCAACAUCUCUGGAGCAAGAAAAGGAAAAUAAUUGUCAUCAUACUAAGAAUAUCAGUGUAGAAAAAGGAACACGGUCACCUAAAGAGGAUGUUUUAUUAGUAGAAUAUGCGAAAGAAUAUAUGGAGUUGGAAAGUGAGAUUCAUUACAAAAUAAAAUAAAAUUUGUUCUAAGAUGGAAACUAUUGUUGUUUAAGAAUGUUAAAAUCUAUAAAACUAAAUAUAAAAAAAAUAUUCAUUUAGAAAAGAAAAAUAAAUAAAAAAUUAAUGGUCUCAAAUGAUUCGACAUGCAUGUUUAUUCAUGCUUUAUUAUAGAAUGACAAAUAGUAUUUUUUUUAUUAUAAAAAUAAUCCUGAAUAAACAAAUUUGUAGAAUUAGAUCAUUUUGGUCCUAAAUUAGUAUAGAGAUGAAUAAUUCUUCUCCUUUCUUUUUCACUUAAUGAAACUUUUUAAAAUUUCUUUGUUGAAACAAAGGUGGGUAGAUUAUUAGUUUGUUUAAAUAUAAAAUAGAAGGUAGAUUUGUCUUUGAGUAAUUCGUUCACUUGUAUCAUUCUUGUUAUUUUCAAUAUACAUAUUUCUCAAGCUUUAUCUCUUUUUCCUAUAAUAAUCAUGAUUUCUAAUAUGAUAUUACAAUUUAUUUUCACACUUUAACUGUUUUGUCCUAAGCGUGAGGAAAUGUAUUAAGAGUGUCAUAUCUGACAAUAUACGGCAUAUAUGUUUAUAAAUGGAGACAAUUUUCAUCAUAUAAAUCAGUUUUAUAGGAUUGAAUUAGAUCGGACCACAAUUCUCAAUUAAUUUUAGGUGAUUUAACCAUAAACAAGAAUUGUUUUUCAUCUUUGAACAAGUUAAUCUCAGUUUUCAACUCUAUAUAUUUGUUAGCUAUAUUAUCUAUUGAGAAAAAAAUUCCCAUCUAAUAUAGUAGAAAAUUUAGCAUAGAAAUUUUAACUCGUGUUUGUACUAAAUCACAACAUCAUGCUAGUCAACGGGAUGGAACCAACAAAUUGAAAUAUAAAACUACCUCAACAACAUUUCUAGUCCAAAAUCAUCAAGAGUUUUGAAGUUUGGUUGAUAUCAUUGCUCAAAUAUCUUGAGAGGAUAUAUAAGUUACCCCAUUUUGACCAAUAUGAGUUUGUAAAUUCAACUUUCCACCAAUAAAGGAAUGGUUGUUUACGAAGAUAGGACGUCUAAGUUGAACAUAACCACAAUAUUUCACUUUAUGUUCCACAACAUCUUUUGUAAAUGAAGAAAGAGCCACUUGAGUUCCUUCCCCUACAAAAGUUCAACUCAAUUAAAAAAAUCAGCAACUAAAUCCAAUGUAAAAUGGAUCAGAAAAGAGUUAGAUUUUACCAUGUGUAACAAGCAACAAAUUUUCAGUAGGAUAUUUAUCUGCAAGAUUUGUAAUUGUUUCUUGAUAUCUAACCUUUGCCUGCGUAACUGAUUCUUCCCAUUUAGGUAACUGAGGUUUAUUAAAAAAAAACAAGAUUUGAUCGGUUCCAAUAUUUAUUUUUAUAAAUCGAAUUUCCUUUGCGCAACUGCAAAGAUUAAUCCAUCGAGUUUGGGAUAAAUUCGUGUCCCGAGUCUUGCAUCCAUAUUUAUCUUUGAGAAAGUUAAUAAUAAUAAAAUUAAGAUGGAAAUGAUAAUACCUCUUUGUAUACCAUUUGGUAGUUAUUAUCCACGCUUCCAUUUGGGAACAUGGCUUCAAGCUGUGAUAUACCAAAACUAAAAUUUCCAUCUUUAGGAGCAAUGUUGCGGCGAAUAUUUAUUCUAUUUAGCAUUUGACAUAAUCCAUUCUCAAAAGAGACCUAAGAUUGUGAAUAUAUUAAAACCUUGUUCUCAAACUGUCCAUAACUAUGAAGAAAAUAGAAUAAUUUUUGCUCAAGAACUAUAAUUCAAGCUACACUAGUUUCUUUUAGAUCACUUCAUUUCAAACACCUCAUUUAAAUCUAAAAAAUAUAUAUUUUAUACACUUUAUUAUUAAUAUAUCACAACCAUAAUCAGAAAACAAUCCAUUCCAUUCUAUUAACAGAGAAACAAACCCACUCCAUAAAAAGCCUCAAAAAUAAAUAAAUAAAUAAAUAAAUAAAUAAAAAGUAAAACAGAGGAAAGGAAGAAGAAAGAAGUUGUCAGUGUUGCCGUUGUCGCUGAUGAUACAUCGCUGCAAUCAUCUACGAUCAAAAAACCACCGAAUACAACUGCCACCAUCGCUGCAAACAUCGCCACGCCGCAUAUCUGCUCUUCAAAAAUCCACCAUGGUCGCACGAACGCCGCAAAUAUGCUCUUCAAACAUCCACCAUGGCCUUCACCACAUGUUACUCUUCAUCCAAUCUCUUCCUGCUCCACCUCUAUCAAAACUCGUUUCCAUGACAUUUUUCGUGUUUGUUCUGAUUCUCUUUUUCUUUUUGGUUUUGAUCGUGAGAUUUUUCAAUGAAUCGUUGGGUUUUUUCCAUAGAAAAACGAGGUUGUUUUGUUGAUGUGUUCAUUAUGGUGUUGUUAAUCGUGGAUGAAGCAGGUGGGUGUUUGAAGAAGGAGAUGGCAAUGAAGGUUUGGUGUUGUUGAAAUGAUGAAGAAAGAAGAAUGAAGGAUGCCUUUUCACAACUUCCCUUUUCUAUUUUUUUAAUCAAUGAAUGACGGGAAGCCCCUCCCUCUGGACUCAUUUAGGUCUUGUUUGUUUAUUUCAUUUAAUGUGUUUUUGGCUAUGGGAGGUCCCUCGCAGACACACACUUUUGUUUGUCCAAUAAUAUCUGUUAUAUAAAAAAAAUUGUUUUCUGCACUGCUGAGAGGUUUAAUCCCAAAUAACAUAUUAAUUUAGUGAGGGAUUUAACUCCUAACAUUUAUUUCUUGGAAAAACAAGAUCUUUUUUUUUAGUGUUGUGACUCUUUCUGACUAGCAUCAUAAGAGUCAGUCAACUAGUGUUUUUUGCGUGAACAUUUGGCGUUCACCGUGGGACUUUGGUAAAACUUGUCCGGGUUACACAAAAUUGCAAAUUAAUGAGCUCGUCAUCCUUACAUGACAUCAGAGAGCACAAACAAUCAAGAAUCACAGUUUACCAUUGAGAAACUACUUGUCGUCGGGGAAAACAUGCGCCAAUAAAAUGAAUUGUUGCAAGACAACAUGCAUGCCUUGCAAUGAAAUCAAUAUCAUCCCCAACUAGAGGACAAUGACUUGGAAAGCUUAUAGAUUCGUAUGGUUCACAAGGAUUAAAUGGUUCCAAAAUAACAUUGGUCUCGUCGUCGGUGUUAGACAAGUUCAGUUGAUCUCAGAAGUUUUUCACCCAGUAAUUAUUGAGGCAAACAGAGUCGUAACUCAAGACCUCGUCACUAAAAGAGCUGACGAGAUGCUCCAUGAUGACCUCACCAGAACCUAAGGAAGAAGACAUUAAGUCAGUGUCACUAUUCAUAAAAGUGUUAUCAAGUACAACGUCAUACACCUAUUUUCCAUGAAUUCCCAAUCUACUUUUCCUAUAGCACUUCUAGACGCUUCCACACACUAUUGCCACAAUGCAUGCCUCUUAGUUAUGUUUUUAGGAGAAACUACUCUCCCACUAUCGUCAAACUCGUGAAUCAAAACCAUCGAAAAUGAUUAGGUGUAUAAAAAGAAAUAAAAAGCAAUCAUCGUACUUGGAUGGCAAAAAAGGAAGGGAAGCCUUAAUGACAAAAGAUUUUGAAACUUGUAAACGUGGAGAAAGAUAGAUGGUUGGUUUACGCUUCUAAAAAAGUUAAUGGAGGGUGAAGAAAGAAAAACCGCCAUUUAACAAAGACUUUGGGGACACGAAAGGUCUCCUAGUUGAAAGGCUAAAAGACCCUAAUAGUAGGGAGAAAUGAUGACAAUUGGAGCAUUACAAGUCCCAAUAAAAGUAAUCAUGAGACAUCAUGACAUUUCUUGAGACAAAAAAGUCCAGGAGUCUAGUGGCGGACAUGUAUCUCCCUCGAGUUGAGCGGUUUGAGUUUUUAAACAUCGCGCCCCAAGGGUCCCAUUGGCGGAAAGCUCGUCUUGGAGCCUCUGUGACAAGCACCAUUGGGAAAACAAAGCAUUCGAGCUCGAUCGUGAUAUCCAAGAGGAAUGUUUUGAGGGGCGAGAGUGGCGAGGUAUGGCGUCCCCGAUGUCGUGCUCAAGUUGUUCUUGGUGAGAAAGGAAGGAGGAUUAAAGAACAUAUCUGAGUAAUAAAAGAAGUUUUAGUUUCUUAAUAAUUGGGUGGAACUUUACGCUAACAAGGUUGACAAUAGAGAACUUUGCGUCGAAGCCCGAGUUGAAUCUUCUUGUUACAAUCUCCCUGGUGGUAUCAUUGUUUGCAAGCGUGUAAUAUUCCAAUGAAUCACGACAUCUAUACCAAAGUUGGACUAAAGUAACACGAUCGAAUUAAUCUGGAUGAUUCGCCCUUAAGUACUUUACCCCUUCAUGCCUCAUCUUGGGGGACUGUGUACAUCCCGGAAAGUCGCACAGAUUAUGAUUAUGAGCUUGGCCGAUUAGCCCUGACAAAUUCAUUCUUAAGUAUUUCACCCCUUCAAGCCUCAUGAUUAAGGGACUAUGUACAUCCCGAAUUUUACGGGUAAGCGCAAGGAUAAUGGGUCGGGUCUAGGCGUGAAUCAGGUGUGAUCCAUCAUAGUCUAGGUGGAUAUAUGUCGCCUCAAGGUCGGGAUCUCCAAGGUUAGACUUUACGACUAUUUAUCGCGUGACGUCAGUAGGCCUAGACAUAUCUCCUAAAUGAUAUAAUGAUCGAAUAAUUGACUAUUCGAUCAUGAAGAUUAAACUGUAUUUAUGGAUCUUGCCUCACGUCAGACUAAAGAAAUCAGUAUAAAUAGAAGUACACUUCAAACAGAGAGGACAAACUCAAUUGAAACGAAGAAGUAACCGAUUGUGACGCUUUUUGACAAAAUCAUAAGAGUUAUUCAACUAGUAUUCUUUGUGUGAACAAUAACGAAGUAAAAAAACGAAUUUCACCCAUAUUUUUUAAAGAGUCUCUUAUUUUAAACUUAAUCAAUAAUUUUUCCAAAAUUUUUUAUGACAUGACGCUCGUACAUGACUUAUUUUUUAUUUUUUAUUUAAGUGACAUAGUAAAAUUAAUAUUCAAGCAAAAUGUAUUUAAAUAAUAUUCAAGCAAAAUCUAUUUAAAUAAUAUUCAAGCAAAAUUAAAUAUUUAAUUUUCUAAAUAUCAGCAUGUUGCUAUUUGGUUCCUGUUGUAGUUUAAUUGAUGACAUUUAAAUAAUAUUCAAACAAACUUAAUAAUAUGUAUUGUAUGAGAGAGAAUGUGAGUGUAUUAUAUGAAAUAUAUGAGAGAGAAAAAUGAAUAUAUUAUAUGUAUUAUAUGAGAGAAAGUGAAUGAAUUAAAUUUAUCUAAGUUAAUUAGCAAUUAAAUUAAUUUAAUUAUCACUUUUUUAAAAGAAUAUAAGUGUGAUUAAAUGUCUAUUGGCCUAUUACAUCACAAUUAAAUGUUUUGUUUUUAUCAUGGAAAAGACUUUUAAGAUAUUUUGAAAAUAUUAAAUAUAAAAAAUUAAAUAUUAAAUGUAUUUGAAUAUUAUUUUAAUAAUUAAAAUUUUAAAUAUUAUUUAAAUUUAAAUAUUUAAAUAUUUCAAAAAAUGAAAUUUUUUAUAUAUUUUCAAAUAUUAUUUUAACAAACUAAAAUUUUACCAAAUUUUUUAUAUAUAUUUGUAUCAUACCAUAACGAGAAUAUAAAUUAAAAAAUAAUAAUGUAAUAUAAUAAAUUAUAAAUAUGUAUAUUUUUGUUACUUAAUUUUUUUAUGUACCUCCUCUGGUCCGGUUUUAUUUUGUAUUUUAAGUUAAUUACUUUUUUAAUAUUUUAAUAAAUAUUAUUCUUUCUGUCUCAAAAUAAGUGAUGUAUUUUUAAAAAAGAAUUGUCCAAAAUAAAUGUUAUACAUUUAAUUUUUAAUGUAAUUUUAAUUUUGAUCUUUUAAUUAUAUUUUUUAAUUAAUAUUCAUAAUUUAUUAUUCUUUUUAUAUUAAAUUAAUGAUAAUUUGAAUACAGUAAUAAUUAAUAAGAAUAAUUUAAUAAAAAAAUUCUUUUAUUUAUCACAUUUUUAAUAUAUGUGAAAAUGUCAAAUAUACAAAUUAUUUUGAAACGGAGUAUAUAAUACGGAGAAGUAUAUCGAAUCAGAUAUUAAUUUAGUUAAGGUAAAUUCCAAUUAUUCUUUUUGGUAUAGAAAACCUAAUAUUUUAUUUGUUAGAUAAUGAAGUAACCCUCUAAAUAUUAGUAAUAUCUUGUGUUACAGGAAUGACCUAAAAUAUGUUAAAGUAGUCUUUUAAUCUAAAUAGAUCUAAAUAAAAAUCGAUCGAAAAAAAAUCAAAAAUCGUAAAAACUAUUUUUAUUAUUCAUUUGUUUCAUCGAUCAUUCUCAUGUCGUAAUAUUAAUUUUUAAUUUUAUAUAUUAUAUAUUUUAUCAAAUGUUAUUUAUUAGUACUUUUAUAAUUCUAAUAAAAAUUAUAAUUUUUAAAUAUAAAAACCAAUUCAAAUUAAAUUGCAUAAAACUGAAUCAAAUCUGAUCAGAUUUUUUUAAUUAAUCAUUCAAAAUCGAAUAAACGGUAAAUAAAUUUAACUUUCUUUUUUUACAUUUGCACUCUAAUUACCAAGAAAUUAUGACAUUGUUCAUUUAACUUUGAAAAGAUGAAUUUUUAACUCUACUUGCAUUGUCACUUCAUAAAAACUUUUCGCCAGUAAUCCAUAAAUCUUUUUCUGAAUGACUAAUAAUGACCUCCACUAGUUCCUUUAAUAAAGUAGCUUUAGUUUUCUUUAACUAGAAACUCUAAUUAUUUUUCUUGUGAUUUAAUCUCAUUAAAAUUUGAUAAGAGUAAAAAAAAAAAAAAAAAAAAAAAGAAAAAAAUUCUAACCUUAACGCUUCCACCAGCAUCGUUAACAGUGGAGAGAGCGAUAACGAUUUCUGCAGCAGUUUGGACGCAACGUAGAAAAGGGGAAACAAAGAGUCGAUGAAUCGGGAAUCCGAGGUUCUUUCGGAUGCCUUGACCCGUUUUGAAUGCUAGAACCCGACCCGGUUGAGUCAGUGGCGAAUCCCACGGUCGCGUGGCUGUGGAUAUCCAUAAUGGCUCAACGUUAUCGAGGCGUUCACUGUGCCUCAUUACGAUGACGUUUUGGUACAUAACUGGAUGCUGAUGAUGGUUUUUCACAAUUUGGUUUUCUCUUAAAUACAUUUUCGUUCUGUGCUGAAGCCAACUUUAUAUAGGCUUAUAUAGUCAAAUAAGAGGUGGGUGAGAAGAGUAAAAGUGUUGAGUCAAUAGUGUUUCUUUACAUGAUAAAUUAAUUUCCGUAAAAUCUUUAUUAUUGUUAUAUGAGAUUAAUUGUUAUCAUAAUCAAAUGAAUGAAAAGCGAUUGAAAAAAUCCUGCAAAUAACAGAUGUGCAAUAACUUCCAACAUUUGUUAUUCUAAAAAAUUUACAAAGAUGAAAUAUAAGACUCUUUUAGAUCUAACUCUUUUGUAAAUUAUGAAAAUUUGUAUUUUAAUAUACAUGAGUAUUUGUAAACAAAAUAUAUAUAUAUAUAUAACUGAUAUGUAAAGUUGUUUAUUUUUAUAUAAAAUACGAAAUUGCAGUUGCGGAAGUUCAAACUCAUGCGCAGUAUACUUUAUCCCUCGGUUUUUAAGGAAAUCAAGGGUAAAAGUGAAAAAAAAAUCACGAUACCCUUUGUUACCUCGUCUUUGAAAUUAAGGUAAAAUUCCUUUUUCAACUGAGUAAAAUGUGUUUUUUAUAAUAGUGUGUUCCUCUUAACUAUACGAGAUUCCAAUUUCCAAGCUUUUUCUUCCGGCCUUUCACACGUGCAAUUGAUGUUUUUUCUUCUUAAUGCAACCUCUUUCUCCUUUUCCUUUCAAUGCUCAUAGUUACUCAUUGUGUAAAGAAGAGAGAGAUGAUGGUUACAAUAAAGUAUCUAGAAAUUAGAGAUAGAUGGUGUAAUAGAAAAUUUUCUUUGCUUAGGUUCAAGAUGAAUUUGAAGAUGGUUCCAUGUUAGGUUAUCCUUGAUGGGUUUCCUUGUUUUCCUGUUGGAACAAAUUAGAAGAAGAGAGAAACUAUAUUGUGAAAAGGGAAUUAAUUGAGGUUAUAUUGUGAAAAGGGAAUUAAUUGAGGUAAAGUUGGUGUUUUUGAUUUACAACGUACCUGUAUAUAUAGGCAACCGAUUAUAUUUUACAAACUGCAGUGUUUGACUCUGUCAAAUACUUGCUUACACACUUUGACACAUGUUGUAUUUGACUAAUGCAGCUAUUUCCAAUACAAUUUUCUUAAAAACACUGAGUUAUAUCUUCUAACACACCUCAUAAUUUAUGUUUUUGAGGCUUGUUAUCCCAAUGUUUCUCUUCAACUUAUAAAACCUGGCUUUCUUCAGUGGCUUGGUGAGUAUAUCUGCUAGUUGCAAUUCUGACUUGCAAUGCUCAAGUUCAAGUUUUCCUUUAUUUACUUGAUCCAUAAGGAAAUUAUACCUCCUCUCUAUGUGUUUACUUAUACCAUGACACACAUGAUUACUUUCCAAGUCGAUAGCUGACUUGUUGUCGAUAAAAAACUUCAUUUUCUUAGGUUUCAUGAGCUUGAGCUCUUCGAGCAUCAUCUCUAUCAGUGCUGCUAGACACACUACAUAUGAUGCGGCCACAUAUUCAGCUUCACAAGAUGAAAAAGUCAUAUUGCUUUGUUUUCUUGAGCUCCAAGAGAUUGGAGCACCUCCAAUCAUAAAUGUGUAGCAUGCAAUACUUUUUUUCCUAGUGUUGAUCUACAUUGAAUUUUGAAUAAGUGUAGCCAUGUACCUCUACAUCUGUGCUAAUAUCCUUUCUCCUUGGAAUUAGCACACCAUGAUCAAUUGUACCUUUUAUGUAUCUUAACACUCUCUUGACUGUAGUGAGAUGACUUUCUUUGGGCUUCUGUAUGAAUUUGCUCAAUAACCCGACACUUUGACAAAUAUUUGGACUGGUGUUUCAGAGAUACCUGAAGGAUCCAAUGACUUUCUUGUAUAAUGUUGCAUUUACAAACCCAUCAUUUGUAUCCUUUCUCAAUUUUACUUCAAUCUCCAAUAGUGUGACAAUUGCAUUACAGAUAAUCAUCUUGAACCUUUUCAAGAUAUCUUGGGCAUAAUUCUUCUGAUACAUAAACACUCAUUCACUUGUGUCUUUAAACUCCAUCCCUAAGAAAUAUGACAAGUUCCCUAUGUUAGACAUUUCAAAUUCAUGCAUUAGUUUCGACUUGAACAUUUCUAUUUAUGCUUCAUCUGUACCUGUAAUCGGCAAGUAAUAGACAUACAAUCAUAUAAUGACUCGAUCAGGAAACUAUGUAUUCUCUUAUUCCAAGCCCUCGGGGCUUGCUUCAAACCAUAGAGAGCCAUCCUAAAUCUAUACACCUUAUAUUUCAGCCCUUUAAUUCGAAUCCUGAUGGUUGACUGACAUAUACCUCCUCUUUUGGUGGUCCAUUCAGAAAUAUUGACUUUACAUAUAAUUGAUGUUUCUUCCUUCCUUUAUAUGUUGAGGUCAAUACAACAAUCCUGACGGUUUCCAUCCUUGCAAUAGGUGCAUAGACUUCGUCAAAGUCGAUAACAGGUUUUUGUAGAAAAUCUCUUGCCACCAAUCUUUCCUUAUGCUUGGAAAUUUCACCAUUCGGCCUUAGCUUUAACUUGUAUACCCACUUCACAUCAAUUAGCUUCUUGUUUACUUAUCGACAAGCUCUCGAUGUUAGGUGAGAAUAUGAAGUAGGAAAACAAUCUAGAAUAAGGGUGAAUAAACCCAAAAAAACUUCAUUUGAUUUUCCAAAAAUAGAAUAUCAAAGGUUUUAAAACGAAAAUAAAAAGAAUAUACUUUUAUUAGAACUUGAUCACGUUAACACUAAAUCAAUUCACGAACACCAAAUAUGGUUUUAUGAUGAUGCAAAAAUUAUACUUGGUUAUUUCAAGUGUAUACUUCACGAGGUGUGUUUAUACAACGAUUAAAUUUCAAUGAAGUCUAACUUCAACAAUUUCUCAUAAUUUAAUCACCACAACAUCUAGAUUAGGCACCAAUUCUAACAAAAUCUAACCUUACAUGAUAAAUCUCUACCACUUGAAUAAACGAUAAACUAUGCCUAAGAAUGGAAAACCUAAGCAUGCAAUAUCCAAUGAAAAUUAAAUGCAAAACUCAUGUCUUCAGCACACCCAACUUUACACUGUUACGAGUCUCUUCACGCACCAAACACAUGUCUCUGAAUUGCUCAAUCAAUUCAAAUUCUUGAACCAUCAACAUCGACAUAUGCAAUGACUUCCUACUCAAUGCAUUAGCUAUAACAUUGGCUUUAACCGGAUGGUAGCUCAAGCCAAAAUCACUCGGUCGAACAAAAAAUUUCUCAAGCAAAUUUUCUAAUUGUUUCUUCAGCUCACUCAACUCAGAAGCGGACAUUUUAUAAGGAGUCAUCAACACAGGACUAGUUUCAAGUACUACGUCUAUGGUGAAUUCAACCUUGCGCUCCAGCGGUAGAUCACUGAUAUCAUUUGGAAACACUUCUGGGAAAUCGCACACCACUAGUAAUUCACUAAUCACAACUUUGCUUUCAUCCUUCAUAGAAGCUAAUAUCAUAAUCACCUUAUCAUCAUUCUUCAUGAAUUCAUCCACUAGCUUAUCAGACACAAACAACUAGUCACUUGCAUCAAAUAAUGGAAAUGACACUGACUUGUCAAAACAAUUUAUAUGAACAUGGUUGAACUCCAACCGGUCCAUUCCAACUAUAACAUCGAGUUUAUUCAACGAUAGACAAACUAGAUCCAUCCCAAAGUUCAUACCAUAAAUACUCAGCGGACAAUUCAAACAAACUCGUGAAGUAGUUACCGGACCCAGAGCUGGAGUAUCAACGAUCAUACUCCUAACCAUAGAAGACAGUUCUAGGUUCAACCUUUUAACACACUCAAGAUAAAUAAAAUAAUGUGUUGCAUUCGUGUCAAUAAUAGUAAUCAACAUAAUAUCAUUAAUAAAACACGUACCUCGAAUCAAUUUGUCUGUGCUAGUAGUCUCUGACCCAUUCAAAUCAAAAACCUUCCCUCCAGACUGAUCCUUCUUAGGUUUCUUACACUGAAUACUAAUAUGACCUUUCUCUCCAUAAUUAUAGUAAGUCAGACUAUUACUCUUACAUUCAACAUCUCAGUGACCUGACUUCCCACACUUGAAGCAAUUCACAGUUGUGCUUCUACACUUAGCAAUAUGAUGACCAACUUCUCCACACCUGAAACAUCUCAGAGAAGAAGAAGCUUCUCCCCCACUUAUUUCAAUCCUGCUCCUUCUAGCAAGCGAUUAGAAACACAAAUAAGCACUGAUAGUGUUUCACACACAUGUCGCGUACCAGGGAACAUGCAAAAUUACAAAACUUGGUCGGAUGGACCGACCAGGCUCUGAUACCACUAAUGUAACACCCUAAACCCCGAAACAUAUAUAAAAAUAUUUAAUCGACAAUUUAAGGUGUCACUAAGACAACCAUCCAAAACUCAUAAAUACAUUUGAUAACAAGCAGUGGAAAAUCAUAUCAUAACAACUUCACAAUUAAACUUCGCAAAUAAAGUAUUAGACUUCAAAUUACAUAAUUCAUUAUUGACUCAAAAUAUAGUAAAAACACCCUAUUCCCGAUGUUACAAGAUCAGAGCAUAAAAACCACUAAAUUAUGAUAAACGAUAAGUAAAUGAUUAAUAACUCUAACAAGCCACCUUCCACAUAUAACAACAACUCCACUUUUGAUUAUCUGCAAGAUGUCCAUGGUGGAUAACCUUAAGCAAAAUGGGUGAGAAAUAAACUUCGAAAUAAAAUGGUGUAAAGAAUGUAAGGCUAGAUAAGCACACAAGAUAUUAUACAUUCAAUACAUAAUUAACAUCAUCACAAUCUCACACCCAUUCCACAAUAAUACAUACAUAUAUGCAAUGCAACUCACGACACAACGUGACAUUAUGCAUGUGGUACCAACUUAAUAUUUGGUUCUCUCAGGAACCCGGGGCCCCCUUUUGAACCCAUGAUCCCCCCCUUUGGAGCUUAGGACAAGCCACCAGUCCUUUCUUAUAAACUAGCGUACAUGCUUCUUUUAACGACACAAUACAAUGAUGCAUAUUAAUACAAAUCAAUGUAACAACAACAACAACAACACAACAAUGAUUACAACCCCACAUAUGACUGUAAAUAAUCAUGCAUUUAAAAGCAUUAAUAAUAGUUCUCACUCUGAACUACGCAUCACCACAUAACGCACAUAAUUACACCAAUAACAUGUAAUUGUAUUUGCAGCACAAUAACUCCUGAACAUAAUCAUAAUUCAUCACUCAUAAUUAUGCAAUUAAUCAUAACAUUUCACAUAAUCCCAAACACUACAGGACAACAUCCAUUAAUCACCAACACAACACACUGGCACACAAGUUGACUCAAAACGAUUCAAUUAUGCAAUGUCACCCUCGCUAGGCGACCUAUAGCUUGUUGGACGAUCCCUCGCUAGGCGAGCUCUUCCCUCCCUAGGCGAGCAUCUCAAAAACCAAAAAUUCCACACUCUGCAUAUUUGCUAAGUGAGACAUUGCUCGUUGGGCGAUGAAUCGCUCGUUAAGAGUGACUCACCGAAAAAUUAGAACACUCACUCUAUCAUGCUCGCUAAGCAAACACAUUAGCUCGCUAAGGUAAGCUCAUCCUCGCUGAGCGAGGUCGCUCUAACAGAACCUGGAAAACACGAUUUUUGACCAUUGGAGCCCCAUCAAAGCUCUGAUUUCAACCCCAAUCGAUCCCAAACGCACAAAAUUCAAUCGUACAUGUUAAUACAUUAUUAAAACACUCAAUUAGGCACACAUUAGCAUAUAUGACAUCGAUUUGAUUCAAAAUCAUCAUCACCUUUAACAAAUGCAACCGAACUCAUAAGAACACCAAAUUUCAUAUUUUAAUCAUAUAAUUUCACAUAAAAUUAACAUGAAAUCAUUACACGAAUUUCAAACAACAAAAUCAAUCAUAACAUAAGAUACAUGUAUUCAUAAUUAAUAAUUCAUACAUAAUCAACAAUGAUAAAAUAGGAGAAAACCUAGAGGAUUAAGGAAUCAUUACUACCCUUCAUCAAUUACACCAAUAUAGGAAGCAAUCCCCCCUUACCUCAGAUUCCUAGCAGCAAUUCUGAAUUUGAUUAAGGUUGGUGGUUUGAGUUCUUCCCUCUUCAAGGUCUAGCCUGUUUUUCUCCAAAAACUAUAACUUUACGUACUCUCCCCUCAAAAGCUCAACUAAUCCCUUUUUAUCUAUAAAAUCCUAAUUUAACCUUUAACUAAUCACACUUUGUCCAAACUCUUCUUAUAAUUCUCACCACCUCCCUUAUUUCUUCUUAGUUUCUAUUUUCCACCCCAAAACCUUCAUUUUUAUAUAUUUUAAUUAAUUAAAAAUAACUAUUAAUUCUAAUUAUUUUAAUCAUUCUAUCAACCCACCAACAUUCUCACUACACCCCAUCAUAGCCCACACACACAUACAACUCAUGAUAUAUUUAAUUAAAGUACACUGCACCCAGCUCUUUACACAUUUCCUUUAGCUCAGCAAUAAUUUCAACUUUUGAGGUUGGUUUUUUCACAGCAAAUGUCAUGACAAUGUCUUCGACAUGACUGCCUUCAAAUAGUUUAUAGUGUACUGACAUAGCAGGUUUUCUUCUACUUGGUAGGUCAUUAGUACUCAGAAUCCCAGGGUGUUGACUCGGGAUAAUCCCACGAAUCAUAGAGGGAAAGGCUAUAGGCAGCUUUACUGCAUUAGUAGAAGCAUGAUUGACAAUUUGUUCAAACAUAAAUCUACCAUAGUCAAAUUUUAGUUUGGUUCCAACAGCAAAGAUAAAUCUUCCAAGGGUAUUAUAAAUUGUGGAUAUAUGGUUGGUAGGCACCCAAUUUGCAGAUCCUAUUUUAUGCAAUAUGGCAUACUUAACAGUCAGCUUCCCAGCAGGAAGAUUCUUUUUAAUAGGUCACUUUUUCACCUGCCUUGCUGUAAUUUCUCUACAGACCUCAUUGUCUGUAGCUUUCAAUUCACCUGCACCCUCUAUACCUCUUCCCAGAAACUUGUUAAUGACAGUGGGAGAAAAUGUGAUACACUUACCUCUCACAAAUACUUUGCAAAAUUCCUUGUUGUUCUUAUCAACAAUAUCUUCAGGAAUGUUGACAAUGAAUUCCUUAACCAAUCCCUCAUAGCACUGAGAUAAUCCAGCCACAGUCUUCAUUAACCCAACAUUCUUUAUUAGGUCCGUGACCUCUUUGACUUCAACAACAUCCUUUCCUAACUCUCUCUCUACAUACACCCUUCUUUGAAUCACAAACUUCCAUUUGGCAGCUCCAUCUUCAAGAUGGUAAGAG
rnacentral:lncRNA from 1 species